rnacentral:lncRNA from 1 species
CUCUCUCUCUCUCUCUCUCUCUCUAAAUUAGACAGCCACUUCGUAAGUAAUUUCAUUGUCCUUUCACAAGAAGCUUCUUUCAGCGAGUAAAUUAGUCCUCUUUAACACUUUACCGAGACAAUUGCCCAACGAAGAUAUAUGGAAAGCACUCCUCUAUAUGACUCCCAAGCGGAGCCCACUUACCAUUGCUUGCUCAAGGUCGGUGCAUGUUCUUCGUUGGCCCUUCAUGUUUCCGGGGAAAAAAGGAAAAAAAAAAAAGAAAAAGAAAAAAGGAAAAACAAAGAGGCCAAAUUAAUGAUACCGGUUUUUAAUGCGAGCGAGGGAUAAUGAUAAUUCAGCACAGGCAGGUGUUGGGUUACAGAAUGGAAUUUCUCUCUCCCUCCCAAUCAGGUAUGUUUCGUUUAAUUCAUUUUUUAAGCUGUCGAUCAUAGAUGCUUUAGUUAGGACUUGAUAUCUACGCCUUAUCAUUAGUACUGUGAUCAUCAGCAGAAGCUUCAUUCUGAUUUGUGACUAAUGCCAUCAAUUAACUAGCUAGUUGUUCUUCUCUUUAAUUUUCUUCUUUCUUAAUUUUAAGGUACUCUCCUAUGUUUGGCUUGUCUGCUUCUAAAUCUAACUGCCAAAGUAAUAUUACCCUUUUCUAUAGACAGUGCAUGCAUUUCUCCAUGUGGUUUAUAUUGUAGAUGUUAAGCAAUAAAACAUGAUUGAGAUAUCUCCAUCUUCUCAACAACCAGACAGAAUUUAUUAAGACAGAUGACAUAGAGGUUUCGAAUGCUGUAAGGUGAACCAAUUGCACACAGGCAUUUGAUUUGAUACUUGUUUAAAAGAGGUAGUAGGAUGGUUAUACAUAUUAUGGCGGUAAUCAACAUAGCAACAAAAUGAAAAUAAAGAUAGAGAAGAAAUAUCUUUAUUAAGAUGGCGAAUAAUUAAUGAGUUCUUGGCACAGUUGCACUACGUAGAAGCUGUAGCCUUUUAUAGUGCUCAACUUGUACAUAUUGGAUAACUAAAAAAUACCAAACUCCAAACUUAUUAACAAUCUAGAAGUCAGUCCUUUAUAACUAUAAAACAAAAAACAAACCUAGCUAACGAUUCGAUCUUAUCACUAACAAUGAUUUGAUCUUAUCUUUAACAUGCCCCCGUAAGGUCAAAUUCAGUGAUGCCAAGUCCUUCACAACAUCAAACAAAUUUUUCUAACGACAAUGGCUUGGUGAAAAUACCUGCAAGCUGGUUUUAAGUAGAAAUGUGAACCAACUCAACAUUGUCGUCUGCCACUUUAUCUCGAAUGAAGUAGUGACGGAUCUCAAUGUGCUUGUGCGACUGUGGUGUACCGGAUUCUUUGGUAUAGCAAUCGUCCACCAGUCGCAAUAGAUAAUCGUCGGGUUCAUUUGCUUCUGAUGCAAUUCGUAUACAAUCCAACGUAACCAAACUACUUGGCACGCUGCAUCGGUGACUACAACACACCCAGCCUUGGAAGAUGAUACCGUCAUCAUGUAUGUUGUUUCUUUGAGAACCAACACACCGUACUCGAACUGAACUUGAACACGAGUCCGCUUAUGCUUCUCUGAUAGUCAAUAGAACCUACCCAAUAUAUCACUAUCAGAAAAAUCAAAUAAAGAAAAAAAAUGUUAGUGUAAGUGAACCAUAAUCGAUGGCCACUAGUCGUUUUCAAAUAUCUCAAUAUCUGCUUUGCAGCCCAUGUGAAUCUUGCUAGAAUAUUCCAUAAAUUGUGGAAGGAGGCUUUUUGUAAAUAUAAUGUCUGGCCUGGUGUGAAUCAUAUAUAAUAAGCUCCCAAGGAAACUCCCAUAUACAUUACUGUUGACUUUUUCUACACCGUCUUCAAUUGAAAACUUCAUAUUGGUUCACAUAGGAUUUGCCAUCGGAUUAGAAUCCUUCAGUCCAAAUUUGUCAAGCAAAUUAGUUAUGUAUUUCUUUUGCAACACAAAAAUUCCUUUUUUACUUAUACUACUUCGAGCCCCAAAAAAUAAUUCAUUAAACCCAAAUCAGUCAUUUCAAACUCGUGUCAUAUGACUUUUAAACUCAUCAAUUAGCUUUUAAGAGUUACCGACGUAUAUUAAAUCAUCUACACAAAGAACACAGUCAAAAUUUUUAUAUCUUUGGUCUUCAAGUAAAGCGUGGGCUCACUUUCACUUCGGUGAAAACCGCUUUGCAAAAUAUGAGCAUCGAUUUGGUUGUACCAAGCCCAUGGUGCUUACUUGAGGCCAUACAGUGCCUUCAAGUCUGUAUACAUUAUCGUUCUUUCCUUCAACCUUAUACCCCCGAGGCUACUUAACAUAAACUUUAUCAUGCAAAACAUUGUUUGAAAACAAGAUUUAAAAUCAAAAUGAAAAGCCUUCCAACUGAACUGUGCUGGUAGAACUAAAACAAUUCCAAUAGUAUCAAAACAUGCAACUAUAGCAAAAGUUUCAGAAAAAUCAACACCUUUGAGUUGCAGAUAGCCUUUUCCUACGAUCCAUGCCUUUAACUUCUUAACAGAUCCAUCAAGUUUGAAUUUGUUCUUGUAGAUCCACUUUAGAUUAAUUGCUUCAUUAUUUCGGGGUAGUUCUACAAGUUUCCAAGUCUGCUUAUGCUUUAGUGCAAACAUCUCAUCUAUUGCUUUACACCAAUCUGACGAUUUAGCCGCAUCUUCGAAUCCUUCAGGCUUAAGUGUCAAGCCAAAUUGACAUCUUUCCAUAUUUUCAUAUAUCUCUUAUAGCGACAUCACCUUAGAUAGUGCUGAAGAACUUAUCGAAGAAUAGGGUGUGCUUUGCUGUUAACCUGAGUUUCUUCUUCAAUCAAUCUUAUAGGGCAAUCAUGCAAAACUUCAUUCCUGUCCUAACCUUUUUAUUCAUCAAAAAUCACAUCUCAACUGAUAAUCAACGAAUUCGUAGCAGGAUUAAAUAAUCUAUAUGCUUUACUUGUCACUGUACCUCACAAAAGUACACGUUUGGGGAUUAUCAUCUAAUUUUUGUCGCUUCUUAGAUCGAACAAGAAUCAAAACCCGCAUACCCACAAAUUCUAAAAUAAUUUACCUUCGGCUUUCUUUCGGGUCCAAGCUUCAUAUGGAGUAGCUCUCCAAAAAUGAUUAGGACUCCAAUUUAAAAUGUGCGUUGUUGUGGAGAUUGCCUUUGCCCAAAACAUAUUUGGCAGUCCUUUAGCCUUCAACAUGCUCUUCAGCAUCUGGACUAGACUUCUAUUUUCCUUUCCGCAACCCUAUUUUGUUGUGGGGUGUAACUUGUUGUCAGUUGCCUAAAAGUUCCAUUUGCUUCACAAAAAAGCUUCAAAUUCGUUAGAAAUAAAUUCACCUCCUCUGUCUGUACGAAGAGUUUUAAUUUGAAAGCCUAAUUAAUUCCUUCUCAAUCAUAUUUUUGAUUUUUUUAAAGAUAAGAAAGCAUCACACUUAUGUCUUACAAAAUCCACCAAUGUCCUACAGCUAAAAUCGUCAACAAACACAAGAUAAUAAAAAUUAUUAUUCAAAGACGGUGUGUGCAUUGGCCAGACAAACGUUCGCAUUUACGAGCACCAGAGGCUUCUUUGCUCUCCACAUGCUUUUCUUCGGAAAUAGAGAUUGAUGAUGCUUCCCUUAUUUGCAACUUUCAGAAAUCAAGUUACUUUGUGCAAUUUGCGGUAAUCCAUCAACCAUCUCUUUUUUGUACAAGAUCUCUAAUUUGUCAAAACUGGAAUGCUCAAACCUUUCAUGCUACAACCAAUUUUUAUUAAUAGAUACUCCCAUAGCUAGAUUUUGAAAAUCAUUAAAAUAAUUUUUUUUCAUCAUGGCAACUUUAACAAGCAAUUCUUUUCUUUCUAUUCUUGAAAAUGAGGCAUUUACAAUUCUCAAACACCAAAGAAUAUACAAAUGUAAGAAAUUGACCACCACUAAAUAAACUUGUAAUUAAGCUAGAAACAGAAAGAACAUCCGAUAAUUUUGUAAUACCAACAAAGUUUACCUUUUACAACUUCUUUACCUCAUUCUUCAUGAUUAAGAUCGUCUUCCAUUUUUACCGGCUUUCAAACUGAUCUGUCCAACUCGAUAAAUAUAUCUUCUCUUCCUAUCAUGUGAGCACUACAACCACUAUCCAAAUACCAAAUAUUUUUUCAGUCUGUAUUUUCGAUAUAGCAAGCAAAAAGAACAUCAGAUUCAAAAUAGUUAGCAUCAAUUUGAGCAUUGUUUUCCUUUUCUCAUCGACAAAAUCUUUCUAUAUAGGCAUAUUUUCUUACAAUAAAAAUAUUGGAUAUUCUUAAAGGUGUUAUCUCGUUCAGAGAUGUAAGGUUUGUUGCUAUUUCGCUGAUCAGACCCUUCAGAUCUACCUCCACCUCCGUUUUCUUGACCACGAUCGCGACCUUUUCGACGACCAUGGUUUGAUGAAACUUGCCGACUAUAAUAUGCACCUCCUUUGUCCCUACCUUUUGACACAUUCAAAAAAGCAUUCUCUAUUGAAUUUUCAUGAGGUUUGUCGAUAUGAUCCUCAUGUGAUAAAAGAGAGCGCAAAAGGCCAGUAUAAGAAUAUUUAGUUGUGAGACCCCAGGUAGUCCUAUAUAUAAGAUAUAAUAGGGCUCAAACUCUUAACCCGGCUUAAGCAUUUUGGAUGGUGGCUAGGCUUAAGAGGUUAAGAAAAUUAAGCGUGCUAAGACGGGAGUAGUCCUAGGAUGUUGACCCCCUGGGAAGGCGGGGUGUCACAGUUGAUACAAGAGUCAAUUACCAGCCGAAAGUGUGAAAUAAGUCUCAGCUAAGCCAGGAUUAUACAGUGGGGAAAGCGAGGCUCUCAUACUGUUGACUGUUGUGGGUGGAGCGUAGCUCACCAUAAGGUCGGUUUAGGCUAGCGAGAUGAGUCUCACAUUGUUACGCUCUGCGACCGCCAAUUUGGUCGGUUCGGGUACAUUGAUCAGACGCCAAAUGGAUGAGCCUCCCCUGUCCGCCAAAGGCUAACAACAACGAGAUCAUGUAUAUAAACAGUUGCCCAGAAAACAUUAACCUCAUACAUGAUCUAAGUACUAAUACAAGCAAUCAACAAAAGAGAGAAAGAUCUAGCUAUUACAAGUUCAUUCAACAUAUACAUCGAGUUUACAUUUUUCAUCUCCAAAAUGUAUACAUGUUCAUCCACAACUCUCUAAAAUACAUAUACAUCAUGUCCUCUCAUCUAUACAGAGUGUACUAAUGUAUAAAGGAAAGCUGCUAGCUAACUAGGGCGCUAUGCCCUUCCCGUGGCCUCGCCCGGUUAGCUCGAACUCGGCCCUGCAACAAAGUGGGAUGAGAACUAUAUAAAUAUAGUUCCCAGUGGGUUCGGCCGCCGACUUCGCCGAUCUUCCCACUAGGUCUAAGCAGGCAUAAGUAGAUAGAUAGAUAGAUAUGAAAAUAAGCUGCUACAUAGUAACGAAAUCUACAACAUGUUACUAUGCCUCAAUAAAUAGAAUGAAUGCAUGACCAUAGUAAUGUACUCUACUAAUAUGAUACUAUGUCUCAAUCUGCAAGGUAUAAAGAAAAUGUCUACAUAGUAAUGAAACCUACUAUCAAAUACUAUGUCUGAUAUCCAAUCUCAUCUCGGCUAAUCCGGAGGUUACGCCCAAACUCACAUCUCAAAUCUUGCCGAUGGGUAGACUCUGCGCUACACACACCCGAGAUCGUCUGCUGGGUAAUCAAGUUACCCAAACGCGACGAUGACUCCGGAGCUUACUACUUGGGGUGGAGCGACCACGCCAAGAUUAUACAGACUAUGUGAGUACGAUCCAAUCCUCUCACUCGAGGAUAGUUAGUGCCUCUACUGCACUAGUUCACAUGCUACUACUCAGGCGCCUGAAGGUUUUAGGCGGGAACGGUUGAGAAGUGGGCAUAACUUCCACGAUGGAGCGUAACUUCCAUGAGGAGUGGCGUUGAAGGUUUUAGGCGGGAACGGUUGAGAAGUGGGCAUAACUUCCACGAUGGAGCGUAACUUCCAUGAGGAGUGGGCGUAACUUCCACGAUCAUGGUUACAACCACUCCCCCCACUACUUUCAACCGACCAAUAAUGUGGGUUGAGAAGACAUCACUAUAAAUAGUAACUUCAAAGCCUGUAAUAAAGGUCUUUCUCCAUCCUGAACGAGAAGACCACCUUUAUUUCCUCUGCAUUUUAUCGCUUUUCUAGGAGUAGUUUAAAUGUAAUCUUUUUUUUUUCGCAUUUACUGCUUUCCUAGGAGUAGUUCGCUAAGUAAAACUCUGGAGUCUGUCUGCCCCACAGGCAUCACUCCGUUUUAGACUACAUUUGCAGAGUCUGUCUACCCCACAGGCAUCACUCUGUUGUAAACUAUAUUUCUGAGUCUGUAUGCCCUUCGGGCACACUCUUUUUUAUUAUUAUUAUUAUAUAAAGGCGUUCAACUCUUUCAGCCGACCAGUCGUUGUGUACUUCUUCCAUUCGGCUCUUUCAGCCGACCAGUCAUUGUGUAUUUCAUUUAUUCGGCUCUUUCAGCCAACCAGUUACUAUGUACUUUUUUCAUUCGGCUCUUCUGCCGACAUUGAUCUCUGCACAGUUCAUACAUUCGACUCCUCCAGCCGAACCGAUUUUAUAGUAGUGGUUUUCGAACCCGGCUGGCUCGAUCCCUCGUCAGCCGAAUCGCUUGAUCUGUCGAAGGGCGCAAACUUCGAGGGCCACUAUCCGUAGCCGUUCCUCACCGCGACGCACUCCCCGAGGAGGAUCUUUGACCGGGUCAAGGGUCGGAAAAUUCAGCUACCAACAAUCACGAUCAUAAUUCAAACUGUAUAUAUUCUUAUUUGACCAUAAAAUAUAAGAUAAAUAAAUUUAUGAUAAAUUAAUAUUGUAUGCAAGAUUUUAAAUCCUUAUGUGAAUAUGUGAAUAAAUUCUAUUAUGUUCACGAUACUUUAGUAAAUAUAAAUAUUCCAACGGAUCGAAUUUAGAUGAAUAAAGGAGCUUAAGUGUGUAAUGUGCUUAAAACCGGAUGCCUACUAAGCAAAAAUUUGCGAAAGAAACCAAAUAAUAAAUUAAUAAUGGGUUCAGUCUUGAUAGGUUCAACUCUUGUCCGUAUCUGUAAACUACUAUUAAUUUUUGUGGGAUUCAAUCUCUCUCCUUAUUUUAAGGAGAAAAGGUGAUCCACUUUUUCUCUAAAAUAUACAGAAUAAUAUCUUAAUUAAGCAAUCCAUCACGUAGAAUAAACCAAUCAAUAUCAUGGCUAGAUGCAACUCACGAGUCCGUACUAUUACAUUAAUGGAUUGGCCAGUCAACUUAAUCCAAUUAAACAGUUCGACGGAUUCAAAGCUAACCAAAAUAUGGAUGCGGCCAAUUCAAAAUAAAUUGAUCCUAUUCAUCAUCUCCUUCCAUUAUUAUGGUUUCAUUCAAAAACCUGAAACCCAAAACAGGGUUAAUCCCUGCCAUAUCAAACAUGGACGACGUUGUCGCGUGCUGCAAAAGCCACAGAUUUACAAAAAGAAGUGGAUGUACGAAAAAUAAAAACGACCACCAAUUUGCAGAAGAUGAUGAAUAGUUUAUAAAUUGUCCUAGGCCAAAUCAAAACUAGCGAUGAUCUAAAUCCGCAUGGUACUUUUCUUACUUCAUUCCAAAAUUCAUCAUAAUUGAAUCCGAUUAAAUAAUGCAUACAAUAUAUAAUUUUUCGUUCAUGUUCUGAUACCAAUUGUAGAUUUAUAUCGGUACAUAAAACAACAAUAGAAUUAAAUAUCAAAAUUAUAAAAAAAAUAAAAUAACUCACAGAGUGCGGAGAAAAAAAAUUCUUGAUUAAUCCGUGGAAGCAAAAAGUAUGGUUGUGAUAUGAAUAUCAUCAACCGAACUUGGGUAAUUUGGUUUCUACUUCUGUCUCAGGCACUCUCUCAUAUGGUGUGGAACAUAUAGUAAUUUUUUACCAGAAUGUAUAUAAGAAGGUGGCAAGACCAAUAUCCUUUUAUAUAGAGUUCAGAUCGACUUGUCAUUAAACUCUGAUUAGAAUUCUAUUAAAUUUAAAUAGAUGAGAAAUAGAUAAAAUAUACCAUAGUAAGUAAUUUUAUAUCUAUUAGAAUUGACCUUUAUUUAUUGUAAAUUCAAAUUUAAAUAUUGGUUAGUUGGGCCACAUUUAUGAAAAUCCUAACUGCAUGAACUCUAUUAGAGACGACUAUGCGGCUCAAAAUGUCAUUUUUUUCUUCCUAUCGCAACAAAAGUUUUCUUUCUUCUUUUAUUUUUUAUUUUUUAUUUUUUAUUUUUAUUUUUAUUUUUUUUACCAGGAACACUAUUAGAGGCUACAGCUACGUACUUACGUCACAUCUAUAAAAUAAUGAGACUUCAAUAUAUCAUAUUUUCUACAAUUAGUAUAUGACCAACAUAAAACUAAUGGGAGUACAUAAGAUACGUCCAAUUUAGCAUUAGAUUUCUGGAAAAGCGCAACUCUUGAGCAGAAAAUUCUGAGUGUUGAAAAAUUUUUCUGAUCUUUAAUUAUUACAAUAUUUUUUAAAAAUAAUUUGAAAGCUUAAUUUUAGGUUUAGAAAAAUUUCGAGAAAGAAAAUAAAUAACAAAUACGGUAAAGAAAAGGUUUAGAAAAGACCUGUGGAUCGAUAUGUGUAGAGCACUGUCCUAAAAGUGAAAUUAUCCCUCUACGUGCAAGGUUUUUUCGUAAUUACUUGCAGCGAUACAAUGACCAUGUUCCACCCCGUCGGCACGAUUUCAAGGUAGAGCAAAACGAACCCAACAAGCUUCAGAUCCAGCAAAGCAAACUCGGCGAAAAUCAGCGCAUACAAUCAAUGGCGAGAAAGCAAGAAAAAGGCGAGGUAGGGUUUAGGUAUACUCGGGUUCUUCAUGAACUCAUGCAAACCUCCUCCUAUCUACAUAACCAAGGCGAGAAUCUUGCUUUCACCGCAUCAAAUCCGUGUAAAAUAAGAUAAGCCUAAGAUUAUACGGAUAAGGAUUAGGAUUAGGAUAAAGAUAAAACCGAAAAAAUAAAAUUAAAAAUAAAAUAAACCAGGUGUAUGGACCGCGAGCGUCGCUGCCCUGUCAAGGCCCUUUUUGGUUGUUAACGGUCCUGACUUUGUCAAUAAUACUGAGUUUGUAAAGAGUCUGUAAAUGUUGCGUCGGGCACGACGCCGACAUAGGAUUUUCCUUGUUUGGGAUUGGCAUUGCUUAUAAAUUGGCAUCCGGUUGGCUACCCACGGGUUCACUCGUACUACACGUCUAAGGGGGCAUAGGUAUUUCGCUAACGAUGGUUGCUUAUGCGACGGAUUGAGCCAGACGCGUGUCGGACAUGGAUCGGCGGCCUAUUUUCCCAUAGGUGUGCGCAGUGGGGAAAACGUAUCCCUCGGUGAGCACCUUUGUACCCCGGGGUGCCAAAUAGGUGGAUGCCAAUAUAGAAUAGUAUGGGAAGGUUGGGUGAGACGUAUUAAGUGAGUCGGCUUCGCUAAAUGUGGAGUGUCUUAGUAAUCAUUUUGCCCUCAUCGGCCAUGCCCGACCGAGUCGUGUGCCUUUCGCUUAUAGUUCAACUUUUCGUUAUUAAUAAAAUACUCGUUGUUUGUGCCAAUUUGCAGGACCCCUUUACAUGCUUUCUCUCAAUUCUCGGUCGUUGCCAAUUUGCGAAGUUGUCUCGAGACGGUUUGGCUGGCUCGUUUGUGCAGGCCACGAACGAGCGCCGCACGGGUUUUCCGACAAAAAGUCAUUAGACCCGUGACAGCCCGCCUUGCUCGUGCCAUGCGUGCAUUUAAACGAAAACAUAACUCUCAUUUUCUCCCAAACAACUAGCUUGAAAAUAAAAAAAUAUAUAAUACCAUUAACACCCUUUUAGUUUUCAAUGUGGGAUUAAACCUCACACAUGAAAACUUACGUUGGGCUCCCAAGCAAGGCCCAUUAAUAAUUAUUGGGCUGCCCAAGAGGCCCUAACAAGUUUUAAAUCACCAAAAUCCAAUAAAAUCUAAUAUUGAGUUUGAUAACUUUUACAAUCAGAAAAAUAUUUAAACGGUCAUAACUUUUCGCUCGAGUAUUCGAUUUUAACGUGCAACUCUAAUUUGGAAAAUAUUUUUCGAAAUCUACGUGUCAAAUGUGAAGCUAUUCAGGCUGAGUUUGAGACCAAAAUUUAAUUGUUUCAGCCUCCAUUUUUACAUUUUUAGGUUUUCUCCAAAAAAUUAUGUAUUUUUUAUAUUUUGAAUUUGAUUAUUUGAUUACUUCUAAUCUGAUUAGACUAAGAGAUAUAUUAGAAUCUUCGUCUAAUAGAAUUCAGGUAUCAACUCUAAAUAUAGACGUGGCGUUCCAGUAAUGUAAUGAGAUUUAAGAGUUGAUUAAUAAUAUUUUCGUUUUGUCGAAGAAUUAGUUCUUCGUUUAUCAUCUUUUUUCGUCCUUGUACUUAUUCCCUCUCAAGGCUUAAGUCAACUUUUACCUUCGAAACCCGAAUGAUGUUUUAGAAUAUUGUGAGAUAAAAAUAUGACUUGUUCAAAACCAUAAGUGCUUUCUACAAUUGGCAUACUUUAGGUACUUUCUCUUUCUUAACAAAGCUGUCAACUAGGAAAGUUGUUUUCAUAUCCGUUUAAAGAAUUUUGGAAUCAAAAUAAGCCAUCAAAAUCCCAAAAAACAUAUAAAUAUUUAAUUUUGGAUUAUAGUUGGAAAGUUUUUAAAUAAUCAAUACAUUUCUUUAGGUGCACUCUUUACGUACAAGUUUGGCAUUUUAUGUUUCAAUAACUCGGGCAUAUUUGGUGUACUUUAAACAAAUUGGCUUGCAUUUCCAUACCUCAGAUUUAACUUGUACAGAGUUUGUUUUCUUUUAUAUUCCUUCAAUUGAAGUUUAAAUGGUGGUAUUACGUUUAAGAUUCAUCUUCAAGGUCUUCCAUCUUACUAUAUAUGUACUUUUUCUUUGAAAGUGUAACAUCGCGUGAUCUUCUGGUAAUGUCCUUUCUCAUUUAGAACUGUUGAUAAUUCGCAACCUACCCUAAUACCUUUUGCUGUAAACCCCAAACUCACUCUGAUAUCAGUUAUUGGCAUUCCAUUGUGGAAGCGUUCAAUCAGAUUUUUACUAUAAACCUAUCUAUUCAGCAAAAGCUAACAAAUCACAAAAGGGAGAAAAUCAAAUAGAAAAUAUAGAUAAAACAAGAUUCACUAACCAAAAGUAGACUACAUUCGACUCCUUUUCUAUACAUUGUAGUUUCAACCCAAAGCCUCUUUGUGAAUCUCUCUCCGCUCUCUCGUGGUCUAUAAGUCCAAAAAAUUAUCUGCAUUCUCUCUCGCCUCUCUCCUCGUCUGUAAGUCCAAAAAAUUAUCUGCAUUCUCUCUCACAUGCAAACUAGCUAGGUGCAUGCAAACUAUGCUAGUGCAUGCAAACUAUGCCAAGACUCCCCCUAACCUUGGGUGUACAGACCACUCACCUCUGCCUUACUCCUUGCACGAGAGCAUCCCACCACUACAAGAAAAUUAAUAUUGAAGGAUGCUUUUUUUUAUUUAUAUUUAACGAUACUUAAAAGCGUUCUAAUAUAGUCUAACGUCAUAUUUGAAAGCGUUGAUUAAAGCAUUGGUAAAUGAAGAGUCGACACACACACACACAUAUUUUAUAUAUAUAUAUAUAUAUAUAUAUAUAUAUAUAUAUAUAUAUAUAUAUAUAGAGAGAGAGAGAGAGAGAGAGAGAGAGAGAGAGAGUUGGGCUAGAAUACUAUUAAUAGCAAAAUGUCUUUUUUGCUAUCAAGUUUUUAGCCUUUGGAUCAAUUUCUUUUAUUAUUUCUAACUAUUGGAUUAAAUAUAAUAACCCAGUGGGGACCACUCAACCCUAGGGGACCACUAGGGUUGGCAAAUGAGCGAGCCGGCUUGUGUUCCUCUCACGUUCAGCUCGAUAUUCGGCUCGCUCGAGCUCGACUCGAAUUAAUUUCAAGUCGAGCUUGAGCCUAAAUCUAGGCUCGAAGUUAAUUUCAAGCCAAGCUUGAGUAUUAUCGGGCUCGCUCGAAUUAGGCUCGAAAAGCUCGAAAUAUAUAUAUAUAUAUAUAUAUAUAGAAAAAGUCUACUAUAUUAUUAAUAAUACCAACCACUUGCUAUUAGGUCUUCUGCCCUUGGAUGAAAGAAUGUGUGGUUAGGAUAAUAGUAAUUAGAAUGUUUUUCUUUUAUCAUCACAUAAUAAUUAUCUAAGGGCCAGAAACCUAAUAGCAAGUAGUUGAUACUAUUAAUAAUAUUGUAAUUAAUUAUAUACUAUAUAGUAUAUAUAUAUAUAUAUAAUAUUAUACUAUAUAUAUAUAUAUAUAUAAUAUAUAUAUAUAAUAUAGCUAGGGCUACUAUAUAUAUUCUUAUGAAUAUAGGACCUCUUUAUACUUAUAAAUUUUGGCCGUUGGAUUUGCAUUAGGAUAAUAGUGGUCCCUAGGAGUUGAGUGGGUGGUUGGUUGAAUAGUAUAAUUUACGGAUGGAAAUGGUCAAAAGUAUAGAUCUAACGAUAAAAAACUUAUAGUAUAAAGGGUCUAUAGUAAUAGAGUAAUAGUAGCCGAACUCUCUCUAUAUAUAAUUAUAUAUAAUAUAUUUUUUAAUUAUAUAAAUUUAAUAUUAUGUAUUUUAAUUAUAUGUAUAUAGAAUUUAGAUUAUUGGACCCAUAAAACCAAACCAGUAAAUUCUACUUUAAUUGUCUCUCUUUCUCUUUUUCACGUCGCUCAUAGAGUUUUUUUCCUAUUUUUUAUAAUAUUAUAAUAUCGUAUUUCAUAGCAUUCAUUUUGUAUAGUUGAGCUAUUAGAUCGUUUUUGUAUCAAAUUUUAAGAUAAUAUUUUAUAAAUUAAACUAUAGAUUGCACGAUUUAGAAUUUCAAGCAGCUCGUUUAGGCUCGAUCUCGCUCGACUCAAAAUUAGGCUUGCUCGACUCGUCUCGAAUUAAUUUCAAGCCGAGCUGAGCCUAAAUUUAGGUCCGAAUAAUUUCAAACUAAGCUUGAGGCUGAGGUAGACUCGCUCGAGCUCGCUCAUUUCACCCGCUAGGGACCACUCAACCCUAACUUACUAAUAUCAUUCUAACCCUAUAAUUUCUCAUAAAGGUUAAAAACUUAAUAGCAAAAAGAGCAUUUUGCUAUAAUAGUAUUCCAACCUGUAGUGUCCUAUGUUUAGCGGCCUGUUUGUUUUUAGCAUCGAGGCUUGUCGACACGUCUGGAGAGUGUCGGAAUAAGUCGGAAUCAUUUUAGCGGCGGAAUGUACGCAAAACGGACUCAACUGACGUGAGAGAGGCAUCUGACAUUAAAAUCUGCAAAAUCAGGAUUUCAGUGUUGAGUAUCGAUCCCAAGAGGAGUACCGUACCUCUAGUGAUGGCAGAGAUGGAAGCUCUCGGUUUCCGCGUAGUUGAUGCUGAGUAACUCGGUAAUUGGUUGUCGAGUACUGGUACGCGACGAGCCCUAGUAUCGGUACUGCAUCGGCGAGUACGGUACCGUAGUGUGCGCGAGCUACGGGCUGAGGGCCGGGUACCGGUAUCAAGCUGAGUACGGUACUCCAGCUGUAUUUUUGAGUAGGUAAGGGCAUGCAGUUUAGUCUUUUGAUUUGGUCGUUCAUUCCUAAUUACCCAACUCUUAUAUGGGGUUUAGGAGGCAUAGAAGAGGAGAUGCCUUCUCCCUCCCCCCCCCCCCCCCCUCUCUCUCUCUCUCUCUCUCUUUUUCUCUCUCUCUCUCUAGCUGGUGGAGUUUAGUCUUUUGAUUCGUUUUAAGCCAAUUAUUGUAGGGUUCCAUAUCUCGUCGACCUUAGGCAUUAUUGCCCUCUGGGGGUUGGUCCAUCUAAUUACUUAAAUUUUUUAGGACCUCUUACUCUGCGAGAACAUAUUGAAUUUUACAGUACCAAAUAUCAUAAUUGUUAUCAUCUAAUUUCUCGCCUUUAAUUAGAUCAGCAACAACUUGUUUGGAGGCCAUUUUAUCUUACUAAGUAAGCACAGUGCAAAAAAAGAGAUACUUAAAAUUAGCACACAAUACUUAUAUUAAAUUUUAUCGCAUCUAUAAUUAAAUAAACUAAAAUUUGGAUCAUAGGUGCGCAAAGAAAAAUUUCGCUGUACUCAUAAUCACAUCAUGCACUCUAUGCCAAAUUUUUAAUUAUUUAAUUAAGUUACACAAAAUAUUUGGAAGUAAAACAUACGAUUUACUCUAACAAAAAAAAAACUCCCACUUGAAGUAGCAUGCAUAAAAAUACACCAUACCAUAAGCAUCAUCCAUAUAUCAUAAAGGCAUAAAAAUAUUAUAAUACUUAAAUGUAUGCCAUAUAUAUCACAAAAUCAUAUUAAAUCAUAUAAUAUGCUUAAAAAUAAAUUUUUUAUUUUAUUUUCUUUUAUUAAAAGAAAAUUGUGUGCCGAGCUCACACGCGGCUCACGCGCCCGUUGCGCGAAGCACGCGCCUGUCCAUGGGCACACGUGUGCGGCCCAAGCCCAAGCCAAAGCGCACAUCUUGGCGUGAGUGCGACUGCAUGCGCCCCAGUCGGAGCCGUGGGCGCGCAUCCACGUGGGUUCCGUCGCUACAGCCCUGAUUUUUUUUAAAAAUGAAUAAAUUUUAAAAAUUCAUAAUUUUAAAAGUACCACUCCAAAUCUUACCAGAAAUAUAUUAAUAGAAAGCUUGUGAGAAGCUUUAUCAAAUCAUGUAUGUUUUAUAAUGGGAUAUAUAUUAAGAGUUGGGUUUAGAAUACUAUCGAUAGUAAACGGGCUCAUUGCCAUUCAUUUGUUUUCAAUGAUAGAGCCUCUAAAAAGAUAAUUGGCACUGUUGAAUAUGAUUUAUACCACUUGAAGUGUUUAGAAAUCAAAUUUCAAAUCUUUUCGAUAUCAUUUGCUUAAUGAUCAAAGGGUUUUAAAAUUUGUAAUUUUAAUGGUCGAUAUGAGGUGUUUUCUCGUUUAAUAGCGUAAAGAUAUCCAAAUCAAUUGAAUUUUUGUUAGAAAAUUCUUUAAACUAUUUAAAACAAGAUCUAUACUCUUGAUCUUGACUACAUGACUCCUAUCAUUAUUUUUUAAAAAAUAUUCAUUUUCAGCCGUUUGUUUUUGUGUCCACUCGAUGGAUAAAAGAAUAAUAUCAAAAAUGUAUGAAAUUUGAUUUCUAAACACUUUAAGUGGUAUAGAUUGUGUUCAACGGUGCCGAUCGUCGAUUUGGAGGCUCCAUCAUCGAAAAUAAAUAGGUGGCAACGAAGCCCGUUUGCUACCGAUAGUAUUCUAGCUCAACUCCAUAGAUUACACAUCGAACAAGUCACCCACAAAUUUUUUAUUUAGAAUUUUAUUUUUCUCAUAAAAUAUAAAUCUAAAUUAAAUCAAAUUUGGUAGAUUUAAUCUACAACAUAGGUACUACAAGAUGUGUAAAUAAUCAUGCAAAUAUNUUUUUAAUUAUAUAAAUUUAUAUUAUGUAUUUUAAUUAUAUGUAUAUAGAAUUUAGAUUAUUGGACCCAUAAAACCAAACCAGUAAAUUCCUACUUUAAUUGCUCUCUCUUUCUCUUUUUCACUCGCUCAUAGAGUUAUUUUUCCUAAUUUUUUUAAUAUUAUAAUAUCGUAUUUCAUGCAUUCAUUUUGUAUGUUGAGCUAUUAGACGUUUUUUGUAUCAAAUUUUAGAUAAUAUUUUAUAAAAAUUAAACUAUAGAUUGCACGAUGUUAAGAAUUUCAAGCAGCUCGUUUAGGUCUCGAUCUCGCUCGACUCAAAAUUAGGCUUGCUCGACCUCGUCUCGAAUUAAUUUCAAGCCGAGCUUGAGCCUAAAUUUAGGUCCGAAAUUAAUUUCAAACUAAGCUUGAGCUGAGGUAAACUCGCUCGAGCUCGGCUCAUUUCCAACCCUAGGGACCACUCAACCCUAACUUACUAAUAUCAUUCUAACCCUAUAAUUUCUCAUCAAAGGGUUAAAAACUUAAUAGCAAAAAGAGCAUUUUGCUAUCAAUAGUAUUCCAACCUUGUAGUGUCCCUAGUGUUUAGCGGCCUGUUUGUUUUUAGCAACUGAGGCUUGUCGACACGUCUGGAGAGUGUCUGAACAAGUCGGAAUCAUUUUAGCGCGGAAUGUACGCAAAACGGACUCAACCCGACGUGAGAGUGGAAUUCUGACAUUAAAAUCUGCAAAAUGCAGGAUUUCAGUGUUGAGUAUCGAUACCCAAGAGGAGUACCGGUACUCUAGUGGAUGGCAGAGAUGGAAGCUCUCGGGUUUGCGCGUAGUUGAUGCUGAGUACCGGUACUUGGUUGUUGAGUACUGGUACCGAGCCCUAGUAUCGGUACUGCAUCGGGCGAGUACCAGUACCCAGUGCGCGAGGCUGCGGGCUGAGGGCCCGGGUACCGGUAUCAAGCUGAGUACCGGUACUCCAGCUGUAUUUUUGAGUAGGUAAAGGGCAUGCAGUUUAGUCUUUUGAUUUGGUCGUUCAUUCCUAAGUUACCCAACUCUUAUAUGGGGUUUAGGAGGCAUUUGAGAAGGGAUCCUUCUCCCUCCNUCUCUCUCUCUCUCUCUCUCUCUCUCUAGCUGGUGGAGUUUAGUCUUUUGAUUCUUUUUAAGCUAAUUAUUGUAGGGUUCCAUAUCUCGUCGACCUUGGGCAUUAUUGCCCUCUGGGGGUUGGUCCAUCUAAUUACUUAAAUUUUUUAGGACCUCUUAUUCUGCGAGAACAUAUUGAAUUUUACAGUGCCAAAUAUCAUAAUUAUCAUCAUCUAAUUUCUCGCCUUUAAUUAGAUCAGCAACAACUUGUUUGGAGGCCAUUUUAUCUUACUAAGUAAGCACAGUGCAAAAAAAAGAUACUUAAAAUUAGCACACAAUACUUAUAUUAAAUUUUAUCGCAUCUAUAAUUAAAUAAACUAAAAUUUGGAUCAUAAGUGCGCAAAAAAAAAUUUCGCUAUACUCAUAAUCACAUCAUGCACUCUAUGCCAAAUUUUUAAUUAUUUAAUUAAGUUACAUAAAAUAUUUGGAAGUAAAACAUACGAUUUACUCUAACAAAAAAAAAACUCCCACUUAAAGUAGCAUGCAUAAAAAUACACCAUACCAUAAGCAUCAUCCAUAUAUCAUAAAGACAUAAAAAUAUUAUAAUACUUAAAUGUAUGCGAUAUAUAUCACAAAAUCAUAUUAAAUCAUAUAAUAUGCUUAAAAAUAAAUUUUUUAUUUUAUUUUCUUUUAUUAAAAGAAAAUUGUGUGCCGAGCUCACACGCGGCUCACGCGCCCGUUGCGCGAAGCACGCGCCUGUGCAUGGGCACACGUGUGCGGCCAAGCCCAAGCCAAAGCGCACAUCUUGGCGUGAGUGCGACUGCAUGCGCGCCCCACUCGGAGCCGUGGGCGCGGAUCCUCGUGGGUUCCGUCGCUACAGCCCUUUUUUUUUUUGAUUUUUUUUAAAAAUGAAUAAAUUUUAAAAAUUCAUAAUUUUAAAAGUACCACUCCAAAUCUUACAAAAAAUAUAUUAAUAAAAAGCUUGUGAGAAGCUUUAUCAAAUCAUGUAUGUUUUAUAAUAGGAUAUAUAUUAAGAGUUGGGUUAGAAUACUAUCGAUAGUAAACGGGCUCAUUGCCAUCCAUUUGUUUUCAACGAUAGAGCCUCUAAAAAAACAAUCGGCACUGUUAAAUAUGAUUUAUACCAUUUGAAGUGUUUAGAAAUCAAAUUUCAAAUCUUUUCGACAUCAUUUGCUUAAUGAUCAAAGGGUUUUAAAAUUUGUAAUUUUAAUAGUCGAUAUGAGGUGUUUUCUCGUUUAAUGGCAUAAAGAUAUCCAAAUCAAUUGAAUUUUUGUUAGAAAAUUCUUUAAACUAUUUAAAACAAGAUCUAUACUCUUUAUCUUGACUACAUGACUCCUAUCAUCAUUUUUUUAAAAAUAUUAAUUUUCAGCCGUUCGUUUUUGUGUCCACUCGAUGGAUAAGAGAAUAAUAUAAAAAAUAUAUGAAAUUUGAUUUCUAAACACUUUAAGUGGUAUAGAUCGUGUUCAACGGUGCCGAUCGUCGAUUUGGAGGCUCCAUCAUCGAAAACAAAUAGGUGGUAACGAAGCCCGUUUUGCUGCCGAUAGUAUUCUAGCUCAACUCCAUAGAUUACACAUCAAACAAGUCACCCACAAAUUUUUUAUUUAGAAUUUUAUUUUUCUCAUAAAAUAUAAAUCUAAAUUAAAUCAAAUUUGGUAGAUUUAAUCAACAACAUAGGUACUACAAGAUGUGUAAAUAAUCAUGCAAAUAUAUCCACCUAAAAAAAAUCGCUAUUAACAUUCACAAGCAUGCAAGAAAAAAAUUCAAACGGUGGUAGAUUUAAUUUUAUGCAUGCAACCUUGGUACAAAAUUAAUAUAGGGCACAAAAUCAACUUAAUAAGGCUAUAAUACCAAUGUAGCACGCAGCGAAAGUAUUAGUUUGUAUUCUUUACGAAAGCGACUCGCGCUAGAACGUGAUGAGCUUGGAUCGUAGAGGUUGAUUCAUGUGUCGUCGGAUCGUCCACGAAAGUCUUCUAACGCUCCAUAUCUACGGUAGAUCAAACUACGAAGGAGCACGAUCUCUAAUCCACCGUUCAAGACCCUUUGGAAUAAGAUGUUAAUGGAGAAUGUGGUUUUUCUCUCUAAUAAGAUGGCUCACAAAUUACUCACCAAUUUAUCAGUGUUUUUCUUUAUUUUCCUUAUUUUUUCUAUGAGAGAAUAGCCCGUAUAUUUAUAAGAGAUCUCAAAAUCAUAAUAGGAGAGUAAGAGAUUUAAGCCAAAUCGGUUUAUGUUUGUUAUUCUAAUUUGACUAGAAUUUAUCUCUAAUUAGCUUUUCAAUUUAAAAGCGAGAUUAAAUCUAGUCUAAUUAGACAACAUAAUAAUCGUCGGAUCAAGUUCGAUCAUGGGCGCACCCAAUUCAGUUUAACCGAAUGUCAACAGCCACCAAUCUUGAUUGUACUUCUCCACUACGUCUUGUGCACGCAUUUUCUUUGCUUAGUAUACCCAUUUUACUCUGAUGGCCUGGUUCCCCAUGGGAAGUGUAGUCAGCUCCCAUACUUAGUUCUUUUCAAUCGCUUUGAUCUCAUCAUUCAUGGCAUACUUUCAUUUUUCUUCACGGAUGGCUUCUUAGAACUCUAAAGGUUCACUAUCAUGCCCCAGGUUGCAGCGGACUCGGCUAAUUGCUAACAGAUCUGCCGCAUACAUGAAAAACCCUAUGCACACGAAGCAUCUAACAUGCACAAAUAAAUACAAUCUACAACAAUUGUAGACAUUAGAGCUGGAAAAGAACUAAUACAUAGAUGUAACCAUAUUGUACAUACAUCACUACCCAAAAAUACAAUGUCACCUCAAUGUACAGAGUCAACUCUCACAACUGAAAUAAAGUACAAGCUAGCCAAGCCAGUCUAAUAUGUACAGUACGUCUCAAAACUAAAGUCCAUCCAGUCCACCUCUAUCAUAGUCCAUAGGUAGAAGAUGCUAUCUAUCCUGCGAUCCCCUUAUCUCGAUUAGAAACAGCGGUAGCAAGUGUAGAGGGCUUUGCAAUAAAAGAUCAAUAACGAAGGGCAUGAGAACUAUAAAAACAAGUAGUCCUCAGUGGAUAGCGUCAUCAAUGACAACGGCCUUCUCACUAGGCCUACCAGAGGAAUUAGCAAUAAGAGCUGCUGGAUAGAAACAAGAUAACAGGUUACUGCGGGCAUGAAUCUACCAUUACUAUGUGUCUAAUCUGUACUUUAGGAAAUGAAUGCAUUAUGUAUGAUAUGCAUCAACUAGCUACGAUGCUGUCGAAAUAAACCCAAUCAUACCAACUGGCUUGAAGGUCCAGUCAAGCCCAUGCUAGCAUCAAGUCUAAUCCCUACCAAAUUUGGUCGGUCGUUGAUGCAAUAAUAAUAUAUACUAAAUCAAGUUGCUUAUCUCCGAAGUGGCACUCGAGGGAAGCGAUCCGCUCGAGGAUCAAAGUAACCAGAUCAAGCAUAUAUACUAUACUACUGCAGGUUAUAAUUGAUGUGCAUGAUCAACCAGAUGAUAUAACCACCAAUGAAGUAACCUCCGCACAAUCUGAUGCAAUAAUAGGGUCUCGUUCAUCUGUACAAACCCACGGCUACUGCAAAUCAUAAAGUCUUAAACCCGACACCACCUAAUUUCCCGGGCGAAAUAACCCCCUAUCAACUAAUCCAACCCCCCAAUCCCUGCGCACAAAAUAGUCCACACUGCCAAACCCCUGACCAACAACUGGGACAUGCAAGAAUAAUUAAACUAAUGCCAUUAUGCCACAAAAACAGCUGGUUCAGUUGCAAGACCCAGUGAUAACAUAGUAAACACCAUUUGACUUGAUGCAUUAAGACGAAUUGUAAAUAGUGCAUAAAAGCUACAUUCAGGUACAAGACUUGUUGGCAUUCGGUUAAAUCGAAUCGGGUGCGCCCAUGAUCGGGCUUGAUCGGACGGUUAUUAUAUUAUCUAAUUGGAUUAGGAUUAAUCUUGCUUGCAAAUUAGAAAGUUAAUUAGAGAUAAAUUCUAAUCAUAUUAGGAUAACAAUUAAUAACCGAGUUGGCUUUAUCUAUUACGCACCUAUUAGGAUUUUGAAAUCCCUUAUAAAUAUACGGGCGAUCCCACAUAAAACUAAGAACGGAAAAAGAAAGAGAACAAGAAAAACUGAGAGAAAAACAGAGAAACCACAUCCUCCAUUAACCUAUUAUUCUAGAGGGACUUGAACGGUGGAUUUGCGAUCGUGCUUGUUUGUAGUUCGAUCCACCGCGGGUUUGGAGCGUUAGAAGACCUUCAAGGACGAUCCAAUGACACGUGAAUCAACCUCUACGAUCCGGGUUCAUCGCGUUGUAGCGCGAAUCGCUUCAGCAAAAAGGUAUACGAACGAAUACUUCCGUUGCGUUCUACAAGACUAAUUAGCUUCUACUAACAGAGAGUCUCUAGUUAGCAUCAUAACCAUGCUACUUCAACCACAAAAUAGGACGCAUGCUGGAAUUGCAACUAAUAGACAUACAAGGUAGCACACUGUAUUCGAUGAACUAAAACCCACCUCAAUUCCAGCGAUGGGAUAAAUUUAGCUUCAAGGAUGAAGAUCACUGCAAGACCAGCAAGAAGGAACUCUAGGAACCAGAAAAACUAGCAAACAAACCUACUUGAACAACCUAAAUUUGAAUUGUACCAAAAUUUGAAUUCAACACACCACUUCGGACAGGAACCAAUUGCUUAAGCACCUUUCCCAGCUCAAACUCAAGUGGAAAAUCCAAAGAAGAUUAGAUCGAUGCCUCUAUCCCCUCGCAUUGUUUUUCUUAUCUCCUCCAUUUAGAUUUUUAUUUCUUCUUAUAUUUCUAUUCCUCAACCUUCAAGUCCAUGGCCACUGCCACUCCUAUAUUCUCUACCAUGACCAUUGUUAAAUAUAAAAAUGUUUAAACAUCGUUAUCUAACAGCUUAAGCUUUUAGAGUACAACGGUUGUUUCACAUGGUAUCAGAGCAGGAGGUCCUGAGUUCGAGUCACGCCAGGCUCCUAACAUAUUAAUUUUCUCCCAUUUAAUUUAAGCCCACGUCAUGGGCCGAUUAAAAAGUCUCGAGCCCAGAUGUGAGGGGGAGUGUUAAAUAUAAAAAUGUUUAAACAUCGUUAUCUAACAGCUUAAGCUUUUAGAGUACAAUGGUUGUUUCACAACCACGGCCUUGCCUUGACUGUGAUUUGAUGAGUAUUUGUCGAUCUUUGAUCCUUCCAUUCCUUCCUUCAGUAAGAUCUUUGUUUGAAGGGCUUGUUCUAGAUUUUCUUAUAUCUUCUUUUCAUCCGUUGUUCAUGAGCUUUCAAUGAUCACAAGAGUAGAUCAACUGUCAAUGCAUGUGGGUCUUUUGCCUCUUUGGUUGCUACAACCACAUAUUUAAAUUUAUUAUUAAUGAAUGAAGAACUCUUUGAAAUAUCUGUAACUUGUCUACUUUUCACUGUUUUGUCGAAAUUCGCUCACCAUAAUUGCAUCUUCAUGUCGUCAAGUUUGUCUCUUAGUCUUUGCAGGAAAACUCUCUUUAUCUUUUGUACGCCUUUGUUGAUCAUGGUCCGGAGGAUCUCCCCUACUUGUUUUGAGGUGGCAACUGUUGCGACUUUUUCAAAAUUGGCAUAAUCCGGGUGCAAAUAGAUGAUGAAGAGGGUUUUCUUAUCCUCUUUCUUGACUUUUUGAGAGCAAACAGUUGACUUGAUUGGAGUAGGACUUUAUUUUGAGGCUCAACGUGGCCUCUCAAAACUACCUCCCAGAUAUCUUUAGAUUUGAACAGAGCCUUCAUCUAUAUAUAUAUGCUCUAAUUAUCGUAGAUGUGCUUCAUUAGAUGAAGAUCUUGACAUUGCAUGCCAUUGGACAUCUUGUUGAAUUAGGCUUCUUUCUCAGAUAUGCCGCUCUGAUACCACUUUGUUGCAAUAGAUAUUAUAGAUUCAAAUGAGGAGAUGCACUCAAUUGGACGAAAGAGAAAACUUUACUAAGCGGAGAUGCUAGCUAUGCCCCCGGUUGCAGCUCAUACAAUUCAACUACAUCUAUAUAUAUAUACAGCUCGAACUUCAUUACGAUAAUUACAAUCUAAACUUCAUAUCCCAACUUUAAUAACAACUUAACUUUAUCCAAAUCCUCCUAAUAAAUUAAUAAACGUUAUUGACAUUUGGAACUAAUUAUGAGAUAAAAACAUUAUCAACUAGUUAACAAAUUGAUAACAUUUCGACUAACCAAAUUUAUAACUUUCCAAUACUUUUGUUUUCCCUUGAAAGAUAAGUUUGUAUACUAAUCAAAGACAACAAUAAUAAAGUUUUUCGAUUGCACAUUUUUGAUAAGCAUAAACUUUUGUCACAACAAAAAAAACAAAAAAAAGGUAAAAAAUCAAUUCAAGGAACAAAUUGGCUAGACAAUCCAAUCCCAUAUACUUAAUUAUAGACUGCACAGAAAUAAGUUUUAGAACCAAUUGAAAUAUUUGUGAAAAUUUAAAUAAUAAAUCAAGUUUUAUCCUUAGAAAUUGGUUUUCUUUGUUGUUACGAAAAGUGCUACAAAAACUAUUGUUCCUCAAUCAUAGAUUUAAUAAUAAAAUUUUGGUAAAUUUAACAGAAUAUUUAGAAUUGCGUGAUUUAUAUGUACAUAGUUAUGCAUUAUCGUUUACAAAGAAAUAACUUAUAUACUAAAGUGAGAAAGUGAAUAAUAGAUUUUGAGUUUCUCUACAGAGCAUAGUAACUCUAGCUAUUUGUGUUUUACAUUGUUUUUCCUUUGGAAAACUUCAAAUACCACCUCUGUAAUUUUUCACUUUCUCACUUUAGUAUCCUAUAUAUGGUUUAAAGUGUAUCGAGUUAGUGCCUUGUUGUUUUAUUUUUAUCUUUUAAUUAUCGAUUACACUAAUUUUUUUCGUUAAAUUAGUGACAAAGUUUAAACUAAAGGAUACUAAAGUGAAUAUUCGAUAAACUUAGGUGUGGUAUCUGAAUUUUUUUUGUAUAUAAUUUAACGAAAUAUUAACCAAAAAAGCUGACGAAAAUAUAAAAAUGAAAUCAUGACACUAACUUGAUAUAUUUUAAACCACAUUACACUAAAGUGAGAAAGUGCGAAAUCACAGUAGUGGUAUUUAAAGUUUACCCUUUUCCUUUAUAAUAGAAAUGAGCCAGAAUUUUCAGUAUGCUUAGUUUAGCAAUGAUUUUCUUAGUUAAAGCUCUUCACAAAAUGAGUUGUAUGUUCGUUCAAACUAGAUUUGCAAUUAUUUUGUCCAUUAUGCAGAGUUAUGGCCCGAAAUUAUUAGUAGUGAAGUUUGAGUUUCCCAUCUAGUAUAGUAAUUACCUUAUUUGGUUUUCUUUGUUUGACUUAUUUUCUUCUCAUUAUAGAAGUGAGAAAGAAUUUUCAAUAUUCUUAGUUUAGCAGUAAUUUUCUCUGUUGAAAUUCUAAAUAAAAUGACCUGUACUGAUGUUGUCUCAAAUUUCAUACCAGAUAAUUUUCGUAACAAAUCAAACAACUGAACGCUAGUUAUUAAAGCACGUCAUAAACUGUGCUAGCUAGUUAUGUUGCUUGCAAUUUAACCAACUUCCUAGUGUAGACAAGAUCAAAAGUAAAGUACGUUUUCCUUUUGUUUUGCCAUAUAUAAUUUUCUCCAAUUUCAAGAUCAAGAUAUUGUUAUGUAUGCUAAAAAAAGGCUAGAAUUUUAGCUUUGAAGACCAAUACAUGCUUGAGUGCAGGUACCGAGAAACUGUGAAAGCUCCAUCUGUCGUCUAGGUUUUGUUUGAUUAUCCUUAAAAAUCUUUCACUCUUGUUAAUAUAUUUGAAUAUAAAUGGUUAUUGGUGGCAUGAAUCUAUUUUUUAAUUCAUUUAUUUUUUAAAUUUGAUUUGUUUUUUAACUAUAUUUCUAAUUUAGAUGUACCGCAAAUAUUUAUUAUAUGUGUUCCACAACAUACAAUUUUUUUUUAAUGUGUACCCAAAAUUUAAAACUUUAAUUUGAGUUUGAUUGCAAAAUUUAAAUUAAAUUCUAAAUUUAUAUUUAAAUUUGUGAAUCAGCUCAAAUUUUAGAUUUAAUUUUUAAUCCAUUAUAAACAAUUGUGAUUUUAUAUGUCUAUUUUUAAACCAUUCGAUUUUUCAAACCUGAUUUGAUUUUAGUUAUUUUUUGUUUUUCCUUGUAAUGUGUAUGGAAUAUUAUUUUAUUCCAUUUAAGAUUUCAUAUUUGCCUACUCAAAAUUUCCUAUACACUUUUGUAUAUAAUAUAGAGAGAUAUAUGAGAGAGAGAGCUCGUGUAAGGUCCCGACCGGGUAGCAAUAGUAACUUGUUGGGCCCAAAUCAUCGACUCAAAAUGCUUAGCCUAAUUAUUAUUAAUAGGGUUUAUGGCUCCUUAUAUAUCCAAUCAUAAUCUCGUUCCUAUCCAAUGUGGAACUAUUAGUGUCAUAGACUUCUCGUUCAGGCCUUGACAUCCUCGUCAACCCAAUGUUCUACACAACUCAAGACUAUUAGGUGAUGUGAGACUUGUUUCGCAAGUCUUGUCAUUCAAACCCUAACAGAGUCUGUCAUUCAGACCUUAACUCAGCCGAGGUUCAUCUCAUGCUUCCAGCUGGUUAUUGGUUCUGAUACCAAAUGUAAUGACUCAACCGACCCGCUAGUAAUAAUAACUUCUUGGGUCCAAACUAUUGGCCCAAAAUGCUAUAACCAAGUUAAAAAAUUUAGCCCUAUUAUAUCUCAUAUAUAGAACUAUUCCAAAUCAUUCUAAAUCCUGAGGUGUCAUAUUCUCCCCCCUUUUAAAUUCUGACGUCCUCAUCAUGCUCAAGCGCACUCACAAGUAGCAGACAUUAUGAAACUCAUCUUGCCAACCCACAACGGUCAUUAGCUAGGAGUCGCACUCUACUAACUAUAUAACCUUGGCUCGGUCAAAACUCAUCUCAUGCUUUUAGGUGAUGAUUGACUUUUAUACCAACUGUGAUGCUCCACUUUCUACGGGAUCACCCAUCCUAGGACUAUAGUUCUAGUAUGCUUAACCUUCUUAACCACUGGGGCCUAGCCAUCACCCAAAAUGCUAUAACUAGGUUUAGAAACUAACAAGUACCAGGCUAUGUGAGACUCGUCUCACUAGCCUUGGCAGGCCUUGUGGGGAGCCACUCUCCAUCUACAACGAUCGUUAACUAGGUUUGAAUAAUAAGUCUAGCGAGACAAGUCUCCCAAACCGGCCCUAACAAAGAGAUUUCAUACAUCAAUUCUCAGCCAAGAACCACCUCUUGAACAAAAUCCAAAAACUCUUCCAACACUAUUAGUACUAAAGAAAUCAUCUCAAAAACCCUUGUACAUAUCUCUAAACCAUCAAAUCUUACCGCCACUAGAGUCUAAUUUGAUAGAACACAAGAGGGAUUCAUCCAAGAGCUCUCAUCCUUGAAUUCCAGCUCAAAACCCAACCUUGGAGGAAUUAAAAGUGAUUAGGAGGAAAUAGGAACCAAAAUGAAGCUAUAGUAGUAGAGAAGAAGCAAGAAAAAUAGAUAAAGAAGAUGGAGAAAAAGAGGAAAAGAACUAGGGUUCUUUAGUGGAAGGGGAUAGAAGAGGUAGUUGAGGGUGAGGAUAAUCUUACAGAGUUAAAACAUUUGCAUUUAAACCCCUCAACCCAAGAAAGUUAGAGCAAAACAUUCUUUCAACUCGCAAUAGGUUUCAAGCACCCAAAACAUUUUCAGGUGUCCAAAAUUUCAUUGUUGACUCAGCUGCUCAUCGGUUCUAGACGCCUCUUUGCCCAUCCGCACCAUUCCGAGUGACCUGAGCUCUCAGAUUGAGCAUUCUAAUCUAUUUUUGGGCAUCUGAUUUACCAUCUGAAAGUUUUUAGGCAUCCACAGAGAAAUGCGAGCACCCGAAACACUAAAGUCCCUAGGCUAAACACCAUUUCCAAGCACCUGCAUCCACAUCCGAGCGUCCAAGAGUUUACAACUCUAGUUUUCUGCAGAAAUUCAUUCCGGAUUCUAUUUUUGCUUCCCUUUCGUGCCAAAACUAACCGAGUUCAUCUUGAAAGCCUUCAAAGCCUCUUAAAAAGUUUCUCAUACUAUUUCAUACUAAGACCUUGCUAAUUUGCAAAGGUCUAGUUUAUUACAUCCUAUUCUUCUAUAACAAAUUUCAUUCUCGAAACUUAAGCUUUAUGACUCACUCCAAAGUUUAAAAUAAGUGAGGGCAGCACUACCGCAUUAAGCUCUCCAACUUCCAAGUAACCUCAUGCUCCUCAUGGUUAUUCCCUACUAAUUUCAUAUAUGGAAUAUUUUCCGAAGUUUGUUUUAUUCCUAUGCAAGAACAUGAACUAGUUGCUGUUGGUAGCUCAAGUCUUUGCGUAGCUACAAUGGAGCAAAAUGGAUAAUGUGAGAAGGGACAACAUAUACUUUUGUAGUGCUGAUACAUGAAAUACGUCAUAAACUUUUGCAUGGUUAAGUGGCAAGAUAAUCCGAUAUGCCAUGGGUCAAACUGUUUUCAGCACUUCCAGGGGACCAAUGUACUUGAGAAUUUGUUUCCUAUGCAUUUCAAAUCACUUCACCCUUUUUGACCACGACCUUUAGGAACGUAUAGUAUCCAACCUGAAACUCAAGGUUACAUUGCCAUUGAUUAGAAAAGCUAUUUUGUUGACUUUGAGUCACCAGAUAUUAUCGUGCAAUUCUAACUAUUUCUUCAGUUUCCAACAACACAUCAGGUCCCAAAGUUGUCAUCUCACCAACUUCACUCCGAUGCGAAAGUGAUUGACAUUUUCUUUCAUACAAUGCCCCAAAGGGAGCUAUUUUAAUAUUUAUUUGAUAGCUAUUAUUAUAGGCAAAUUCUGCCAUUUGUAAAUGUCGAUGCCAUCCACCGCCAUAGUCAAGAACACAAGCUCAAAGCAAAUCUUCCAAAAUAUGAAUUGUCCUUUCUGAUUGUCCAUCAGUCUGUGGGUGAAAUGCUGUAGUAUAAUUCAAUUGUGUCACACCCUGGGGCUCUUUGGAAAGUCCUUUUUAGAAAAACUAGCGAAAAACGUGUAGAUUUUUGUUUUUAGCACCUUUGAGAAUAUCCCGUGGAUGUACACAAACCCGCCACAUCGACAAAGGAUUUCCUAUACGAAUGGACAAACUCUCCUCUGUACAUGAACGGCGUAGCACCAUAAUACAAGAUCAAGCACAUAUAAUAAUCAUUAAACAAUAAUAAUCAUAGGACAAUAAUUAUUCACAUCUAUCCAUUCAUAUAUAUACAUUAACAGGUGAAGAACUAAACUAACCCAACAUAUAUGAAAAGCUAAACCAAAUACUAGAAGAUAAGGGUCUAAGAGGACAAAUCAGGAACACAGCUAUCUAGUAUCGCCCUCUCGCACCAUUGCAAUCCUCACCGCUCGCGUCACCUAAAAAAAUGGCGGGUGAAAACAUAUAAACACGUCUCCCCUCCCAGUGGGUACCGCAAGCCGACGAAGGCGAGGUGUACUCACUGGCAAAAGGAAGAGAUAACUAUAAACAAGAACAGAUAUCAUAAGGAUAGUAGUAAUGGAAUAGUAACUGGUAAUAGAUGCAAAAGUAAUCACUACUGUAAGCUAAGGUGGAAAUCAGCAACUAGGCAUAAUCAACAUGUGCACCAGAACAAUAGUAAUAAUGACUAAGGCUUCAUUUGGUUCGGGUAUAAGCAAGAACUAGUUAUACCGGAGAUAGGUACAAGAAUGGAUUUUCGUAGGAAUAAGGGUAUUUUUUUGUUUGGAUGAAAAUGUGAGUAUAAGCUGGAACUAGAAAAAUUAUGUUUGGAUGAAAAUCUGAGUAUAAGGUGGAAUAGUUGGUAGUUAUAGAUAGAAAAUAAUAAUUUUACCUCUAUAAUUGAAUUUAACAUUUUAAACUAAUAAUUUUAAAUUAAAAAUUUUAACUUUUAAAUUUUAAAAUUUGAAAUUAAAAUUAAAACUUAUAAUUUUCAAAAUUUAAAUUUUAAAUAUCAAAUUUUAAAUUUAAGAUCAAAUUUAAAUUUGAAAGAUAUAAAAUAUAAAAUUUUAAAUUUUAAAUCUAAAAAAUUAAAUUUAAAAUUUAAAAAUUGCAAAUAUCAAAUUUAUAAUUUAAACAUUAAAAUUUAUAAUUUAAAAUUAUAAAAUUAAAUUUUAAACAACUAAAUUAUAAAUUUUAGAAAUUAAAAUUAAAAUUAAAAUUAAAAUUAAAAUUAAAUAUCGCUCUCUCUCUCUCUCUCUCUUUCUCUCUCUCUCUCUCUACCCGGGAGGGGUGGAACAAGUGUUCCACCCCUUGUUCCACCCCCCACCCCCAAAAUUGUGUUUGGGUACAAGAGGGGGGAUAACUCCCUUAUCCCCCCCCUUGUACCCAUUCCAAACGAGGUGUAAAAGAAGAACAACGGUCAAUCAAUGCAUAACCAUCCGCUAUUAUAACGAACAAUAGGAUACUCUAAUGCAUCAAAAGGUGAAUAGUACUAACAACCAAAUCAAUUUCCCUAUGGGUUGAAAGACCUCAGGCUGAACCACAUCUUGCUCGCCCGCCUAGCAUAUAGCCCUAACGGGCACCUUGUAGGGCUUACGGGUCAAAAGUAUGACCACUUUUUCAAAAAAGAACACCCUUUUGUGGUGGAUUAGAUCGCUGAUGUACGUGAAUAUGCUUAUGAACUGUGGCAAUCGAUGUAAAAUGCUUAAUGGCUAACAACGGUAACUAGCCGAAAGAGUAAUCCACAAAGAGUCAUCGACCAAUCAGGUCCAUCUCUAUCUAAGAGUGUCACCAACCAUCAGGUCAACUAAUGUCAAGUCAUACGAUAUACCCCUAGAAGUGUCACAACCCACAAUGUCAACAAAUGUCAUAACAUGCAAUAUACAUCUAGGGGUGUCACCAAGGAGUGUCAGCUAAUGUCAAGUUAUGAAAUUAAUAGAUAGGGUGUCACUGACCAUAAGGUCACUAAUGUCAAGGUUAUCUUCUAUCAACAUGCAAUGGACAAUUCAAUCACCAAGUGUCACCACUCUAUCACUAAAUCAAAAUAAAAUGAGAUAAGAGCAGGUGUAGAGCAAAUAGCUACGAAGUCAAAUGAUGUACGAAAGCUCAACUAGUAUCAAGUAAAUGAAAAGAAAUAAUAGGGAUAGAAAUCACUGAGCAGACACCACUUUAUUGAUUUCAGAUCGAAGUAUCCACCUCUACCGCAGAAUAAAACUGGGUCGUUGACCCCACGUCGAUGCUACUCACAGUCCGAAACUAUGCAAAGUCCCAAUCAAAACCGUAAUUAGCCCAAACCCGCUAAUUAUAGAAGCUUAAGGUUCUAUAUGAAUCCGAACAGGUGAACAACCGGGUUUUCGAAUUCUGUUCAACGGUCAUCGAAAGAUUGCUCGAUUAUCGCAACGACUCAUUGGAACGUCACCCCAACCAACGAGGAGUCCCGAAACAAGAAAAAUACGUAACCCACCUUGCUUGCCGUCCGAACACAUCAUUUAGUGCUAUUGGGGCAGCCGCACAAGUAGUGCGCUAAAACGAAGAACCGGGAUCCCGAACAUCGCCUAUUUGGCUCCUAGGAUGCCCAUUUCGGCACUGGGACCACAUGCAACCCUCUUGCUAUGACCAGCGGUGUCAAAUCUCAUACUAAAACCAGCCAAUAAGGCUCAAACUCUGCUACAAACAGCAGCGAUGAGUGCGACAAGAGACCGCACACAAAACAACCCGAUUUUCAUAUUUCAGGAUUCCCAUAAAGCCCCGAAGUGUUUCAAAACACUCCGUGGGUCAAACGACCACCCUUGCUGUCCCAAAACACUUUUUUUUGAGUGUUUGGACAACCACACACUGAGUGGCGCAAACCGGGUGCGAAAUCUCCAAAAACCGUCGUACCGGGUUCCUAGAAAUCACAAUUUGGCUCCGGAACCCACUUAAGGUCCCGCGCUGGUCUGUGCUUCACACCAGCAAGGUUCCAACUAGCCAACGAGGCUACCGUACCGCUGCAACAAGCAGCAACACUCGCUCUGUGAAAACGGGACCGAAAUCGCAAACAAAAUACACCCAAAUCACCGUUUUCACAUGUCGACCACCACAAAAUCCCAAUUGAGGGGUUCUUGGACUUCGAGCAUCAAGUUUGAACCAUUCAUGGAUGAUCCUAUGCUGUUCAGGAUAGCAACGACGCAAAAAGGGUCAUUGCGACAUAUUAUCGAGCACUCGGCGUGCUAAAAUUACUAUAUCAAAGCAGCUUUUUGAGUUUUUGUCUGCCACCACGAAUGACGCACCUGGCACGGUCGAUGGAUUUCUGCUGUGGGGUAGUAUUCAUGAUUCAUAUUAGUAUUUAUAUGUAUAUAGGUAUCAGGUAUUGCAGGUCCAUGGCUUCCAAUAGAUGCAAGCAUCUACUGUUAAUUACCCCUGUGGCAUUGGGGCACCUUCGAUUAAGAGACCUUUAUAGAGAGGAUGGGAUGAAUUGUAUCUUAAUUUAUUGAAUCAUAGGUAUAUGUAUUAGGAUUCAGUUGGAUUUGAGAUUGACUAGAUCCUAAGUAUAUGUGUUAAGACCUAGUCGUUAUUAAAUUCUAUGUAUUAGAGUCUAAUUGGCUCUAAAUAUAUGUCUUAGAGUCCGAUUAUAUUCACCUUGGUUGUAUAUUCCAAGGUGGAGAUGUGACCAUACACCAAAUAUAUGUAUUGAGGUAGGUCGGAUUUGAUAUUACCCGAAAGUAGAGAAUGGCUAAUUCCUGAGUGUAUGUAUCAGAAUUAACUGAGUUUAAUAUAUUUUUCACUCUAGUUCUAUGUGCUAGAGUGAGGAUCUGACUAAGCCCUAAGGUAUUAUGCUAGGGUUCGUUGGAUUUGAUUUCAUGAGCUCUAAGUAUAUGUAUUAGAGCUCAAUUGGGUAUGGAUUUCACUCUAGGUAGAUAUGCUAGAGCAAAAGGCUGACUAGACCCUAAGUGUAUGUGUUAGGACUAGUCGAGCUUGGUUUGACUUCCACUCUAGGUAUAUGUGCUAGAGCAAAAUGUUUACUAGACCCUAAUAAGGAUAUGUGUUAGGGUUAGUCGGAUGAACUCUAAGUAUAUAUGUUAGAGUUCGAAUGAACAUGAUAUUAUUUGACUGAAUUCUAAGUAUAUAAUUUAGAACUCUGUCGAUUUGGAGAUGGUUUCGCUUUAGUUAUAUGUGCUAAGGCGAUAGAGUUGACUUAGUCCUAAGUAUAUGUAUUAGGGGUAGUCGAUCUUGUAUUUGAUUUCUACUCUAGGUAUAUGAGCUAGAGUAAAUAAAAGGUUCAUGAUCAACUUUGGGCAUGAACUUGAUGCACGGUUCAUGAGAUUUGGGUAUUGGUGUAUAUGAUUUGAAGAUGAUUUGGUUCAUGAGGUUAAGGUAUAGUUCAUGUGGUUCAUGAGGUUUGGAUGAGGUUUGGUAUGUGGUUCAUGGUUUGGUUCAUGGGGUUUGGUUUAUCGUUCAUGAGAUUUGGUUCAUGAACUGGGUAUGGUUCAUGGGAUAUGGCUUGUAACAUACCGAAACCUCGAUAAUUAAAUUCGAAUCUCGGUCAAAUUGGCCAAAGUGCGAGGUUUGUACGCUUUGGAGAGGCCAGAGGCGUCAAAUAAUGCAGAAGUGCAUUUCGGGGGACCUUCAAGAGCUUUGGAAAUCAAAAUAUGCAAACUGAAGGUUUUGUGCUCUCGGGGACCGGUCUUUCGUGGGAGAGAUCGGUCCCCGAACGCGUAGGCAGCGAGGUGGCUGAGAAAUCGGCUAAGUUCUGAAAAAUCAGCUCUCGGGAACCGGUCCUUGCGAGGAGAGACCGGUCCCCCAGAGACCGGUCCCAUCGAGGGAGACCGGUUGCAUCGCGCGCAGCCUGCGCAGUCCGCGGGAGGAGCUCUUGGGGACCGGUCCCAGGUCGAGGAGACCGGUCCCUAACUGCGAAAAAUGCCUAGUUUGGGCAGUGCACAGGGAAUAAAGUGGAGGGGUCUUGUUGUAAAUGUUACAACACCUUAUAUACCCAACCCCCUCUCCCUCUACAGCCAUGCACGCACACACACACACACCUCUCCCUCUCAUUUCCUCUCCUCUCUCUCUCUAGAAAUCACCUAGGGCUUGAAGGAGAAGAAGAAGAAGAAGCUUGAGGAGGGAUUUUUGGUGGACUUGGUGGGUCUAGGAGCUCUCCAACAAGAAGGAGCUUGCUAGAACUUGGGCCAAGAUAAGUUUUUAGCAUGUAGAGCUCUAGGGUUUGGAGUUUAACCUUAGAUUUUAGAGUUUUGGUCUCUUUAGAGGCUUUAGAAGAGUAGUAGAGCUUUGAACAUCAUGAAACUCUAGUUUUCUUCAUGGUGCUCUAAUGGGGGAUUUCUAGGGUUUGCAUUUUUAGCCCUAGAGUGGUUAGGGUGGUUCUAAAUGAGCUUCUAGAGAUUAGACAAGCUCUCUUUUGCUUAUGUUAGAGAUCAAAACCUAGGGUUUAGCAAUGGGCACCAAAUUUGGGGCUUUUGCCCUAGGAUUUUUCAGGGGCGAAUUGACCUCGUAGAAAUCUAAUUGGGGGUGUUCUCGACGUGUUGAACAACUCCGUUCGACGUUACGAUAAUGUUUAAGUAUGGUUCAUGUACAAAAGGCCUAAAGUGGCACUAUUUUGGUUGUAGGUCGCGGUAUCGGCUUUCGUAAAGUUCGGGAGUCGUCAUAUUCUACACCCACGCGACCACUCGAGGUGGGUGGUGCAUUCCAAGGACCUCGAAAAUCCCUUUAUGUCUAAAGUGUCAUGUUUGAAUGUAUAUGUAUAUACUGAGCAUGUUGCAUAGUAGGGUUAAUUGUGAGCUUUUAUUGUAUGAUUGUGAAUUUAAUUUCGUAUGAAAUACUUGUAAGAAUGUGAGAAUUAUAAUCCUAUUUAUGCAUGACAAGUGAUAAGAACCUAGAAGGGUUAGUGAACAAAAGUGACACAUGGACAUAGAUCUAGUGAGUGACAUUGAUGAGUCUAAAAUACUUAGAAAAAUAAGUGUGGCAUUUGGCAUGAGAACAAGAACAUAGCACUUAGAAAAUAAGUGUAGCAUGAGUACAAGAACUUAGUAGUGCAUAUGACACUAGCGAUAGUAAAGAAUGCAAAGAAAAGAAUGAUUGAGACAUUAUGAUAUUUCAACCUUAGAGUUAAGGGUCAUUGAGCAUGGUCUUCCUUAAAGUUAAGGAAUGGAUUGAACUUGGAAUCCUCAAUGUAGGAUUGAUCGUACUCACCUUUAGUCCUUGCUCGAGAGUGGUAGGUCCCCCUCGGGCGAUGUGCUCCGGAGUCAACAUUACUGGGUCGUAGCGGGUAUCUCCCCAGAGGACGGUCCUAUCGGGUUGUAGCGGGUAUCUCCCCGGUUAAUAGGAUUUUGUGUUGGUGAGUUUGUUGAGGGCGAAACCUACAGGUUAGACAAGAGAUUGGGUAAAAAAAUUGUGAUCUUGCAUUCAUCCUGAGCAUUAUAUCGAGCAUCGCAUUUUAUAUUGUUCAGGCAUAUUAGUUGCAUUUGUUAGUUCGUUACUUUCUUUCUUCUAUUCUAUUAUGCCUGAUUAGACCUAGUGGGAUAGUCGGCGUGGUUGGUUACCGAACCCACUGAGAACUUUAUUGUAGUUCUCACACCUCUAUUUCCACAGAGCCAGGACCGAGCGAGCCGGCAGACGACCGCGGUAAGGGCAUCGCGCCCUAGAUAGAGACCGCCUGAGAUGUUUUAUUUCUUAGUUGCAUACCCUUUUGAUAUAUCAUCUUUUGUAUUUUGAUGAUUAUAGUUGUUAAAAGAAAGGACAUGAAUGAUGUAAAAGAAUUUAUUUAAUAUUAAUGUUAUAUUUUGGAGGAAUGAGAUGUAAAAUAAAAUGAUGAAAAAUUAUAAUUGAUUUCCUAAGUGUAGUUUUUUACUUCACUAUUGGCUAUUGCUUGCACUCGUGCAAGCCUUUGUGUACGCUUCCGCUUAUGCAAACUUUAUACUCUAUUGAUACUUGUUGUUGAGCCUUGGGCGGACAGGAGAGGCUCUGUCCGUUCGGCGUCUGUUCGACGCUCUCGAACUGGCCAAAAGGAUCGAGCUUGGGGCGUGACAGAUAAGAUGGUAUCAGAGCGUAAAGAGCCAAAAAGUAAAAGCAUAGGAUGGACCUAGAGACUCUUUGGAAUGGAAAACCUUAAGGAUCUAGGAAACGUGAAUGAUGUUGAACAAGUUAUAGCGAAGGCAUGGAUUGGGUCGAUGUGAUUAUGUCUCUAAUGUGGUUAGGGACUAAAUUUAAGUUGUUAUUUGUUUUCUUUUCCUUGGGUUGUGAUCGGCGGCCGACGACAUGACGCUUUGGAAUGGAAAUGAAUACACUUAUAUGCUUUCGCCAGACUGGGUAUAAUCGACUAUGUUGUCUAAGUAACUAACGUGAGUUGCUUCGUUUCAGAAAGCAAUGCCGCCUCGUGGAUGACCUAAGCUACCUCGUAGUCGACCGCGAACGUGGUCUAUGGCCGAGGAGUCAAGUACGGCUCCCGUGCAACCCGAAGCAGGUGGCGACGGGGAGCUUCGGGAGCAGAUGGCCGCGCUUAUUGGCGUAGUGCGGCAGCAUGCGGAAUCCGUUCAGCGCCAGGUGGAAUCCGUUCAGUGCUAAGGGGAGCAAAUCCAAAGGCUCCAGGAGGCCUUGGAACGGCAGCAAGCGGCGGCGGCGCCCGUGGAAGCCGUGCACCCUGUGCCCCCUGCAGUGGUGCCGAGUGCGGCCGAGGGUGUGGCCACGGCGGCCGUGCCAGUUAUGAUGGUGUCGGCUGGAUCGGGGACCUCAAACCCCGAUAGUGCGGCGGAGGAGGCGGAGCAGGAGCGCGCGUUGGCGGCUCUCAUUCAGUUUCAGAAGUUCAACCCACCUACCCUCGAAGGGGGAGUGGUGGAACCGGCGGUAGUGGAGUCUUGGAUCGACUCCAUGGAGAUACUUUUCGAGGACCUUAACACCUUGGAGAAGGACAAGGUGUACCUCGCCACACAUUGCCUUGAGAAAGCGGCGAAGGUGUGGUGGAAGCAUGUGAGUCGGGAUCGAUCGCCCUAUCUUCCGCCUAUGUUGUGGGAGGAGUUUCGGAGGGCGGUGUUCGCUAACUACCUCCCCGACACAGUGAAGCGGAAGUUGCAAGAGAAAUUUCGCAAGUUGAGGUAAGGAGAUCGCUCGAUUGCUGACUACGAGCAGGAGUUUUCCCACCUCAUUGACUGCGUCCUGGAUGUUGUCAGGGAUGACCUGUACCGAGCGGACUGGUUCCUACGGGGAUUGCGGCCGAGGAUUCAUAGGGCCGUGCAAAUUCUUAAGCUCACGACCUUUGCAGAGGUCAUUGAUCGGGUUUUGUGGGCGGAGCAUGGCUAUGCCCACGAACGCGAGGAGCACGAGUCCGCAGCCGAGUCAUAAUGAUGCUCGUCUUCAUCGCAUCAGCUGAAGGCAUCAAGAGCACUGAAUGGGCGGGUUUUUGCCACUCAGGUGGAAGAGGAGCCGAUUCCUGUCACCGACGACAUCAUGGCAGGUAUUAUCUCGAUCAGAGGCACUAGAGCUAGAGCUUUAUUCGACACUGGUGCAUCGCAUUUAUUCAUAGAUGCAUCAUUCGCUAGGACUUAUGGCAUUAAGAUUGUGCAUCAUUAUGACUAUUGGACGGUGAAUUCAGUCGAGCAUAUUUUUCAUAUUCACGAAGAGUGUGUAGCGUGCCCAGUGUAGAUAGGUGAUUGGGUCAUGCCGAUCGACCUGUUGGUGUUUAAUCAAAUGUGGGGUUUCGACGUGAUCUUGCGGACCAACUGGCUCUCCAAGUAUUAUGUCGUGAUAGAUUGCGAAAGUAAGGUGAUCACAUUUCGUGAGCCUAAUCGAGAGGAGCUAGUAUAUUGGGCAGCUAAAAGCUCGCUCUUCGCGGCGACUGUGUCGGCGGCACGGGUGAGGAAGAUGAUAAAGGGUGGUUGUGAAGCCUAUUUGGCGAUAGUGGUAGAAGCCCCGAAGGAGCGCCCGGAACUUCGUGGUAUUCGGGUGGCAUGUGAAUUUCUGGACGUAUUUCCGGUGGAGUUACCGGGUUUGCCACCGGACCGGGAGAUCGAAUUCGUUAUUGACUUGAUACCCGGGGCGGCUCCAAUUUCGAAGGCUCCGUAUAGAAUGGCACCGGCGGAGCUAAAGGAGCUCAAGGCACAGUUGCAAGACUUGCUCGACAAAGGCUUUGUAAGGCCGAGCGCGUCACCCUGGGGAGCUCCGGUGCUGUUCGUUAAGAAGAAGGACGGCACACUUUGACUCUGCGUGGAUUACCGCGAGUUGAACAAGGUCACAGUGAAGAAUAAGUACCCGUUGCCGAGGAUUGACGACUUAUUCGAUCAGUUGCAAGGGUCAAGGGUAUAUUCAAAAAUUGAUCUUCAAUCAGGUUAUCAUUAGUUGAACAUACGGCCCGAGGAUGUGCACAAGACGGCGUACCGUACACGGUAUGGCCAUUAUGAGUUCACGGUGAUGCCGUUUGGGCUUACUAACGCCCCAGCGGCGUUGAUGGACUUAAUGAAUAGAGUCUUCCGUCCGCUAUUCGACCGGUGCGUCGUGGUAUUCAUUGACGACGUAUUGGUAUAUUCUCGGACCGAGGAGGAACACGAGGAGCAUUUGAGGACCGUGUUGGAAAUUCUCUGAAAAGAGAAGUUAUAUGCCAAGUUGAAGAAAUGCGACUUCUGGCUAUCGGAGGUCACUUUUCUUGGUCAUGUAAUUUUGGGCGAUGGUAUCUCGGUGGACCCGAAGAAAGUUGAGGCAAUUAGAGAUUGGCCUCGCCCGACGAGCGUAUCGGAGGCCCGCAGUUUCCUUGGACUAGCGGGCUAUUACCGGCGGUUCGUGGAAGGGUUUGCUAAAAUAACUACUCCACUAACGUGACUCACACACAAAAGGGUGAAAUAUGUUUGGAGCCCCGAAUGCGAGCGGAGCCUUGAGGAGUUAAAACAAAGAUUGACCACGACCCCGGUGCUUGCUCUAUCGACGCCGGGGGAGACAUUUGUGGUAUAUAGUGAUGCUUCCUAUGUUGGACUCGGGUGUGUCUUGAUGCAAAACGGGCAGGUUAUAGCUUAUGCUUCACACCAACUAAAGACGUAUGAGAAAAACUACCCGAUCCACGACCUGGAGUUAGCGGCGGUUAUUUUCGCGUUAAAAUUAUGGAGACAUUACCUGUAUGGGGAACAUUGUGAGAUCUACACGGAUCACAAAAGCCUUAAAUACUUGUUCACCCAAAAGGAGCUGAAUAUACGACAGCGCCGGUGGUUAGAAUUGUUGAAAGACUAUGAUGUUACUAUUCUUUACCACCCGGAAAAAGCAAAUGUCGUGGCCGAUGCACUUAGUAGAAAAUCGGCGGAAGAUUUGGCUUCGGCAAUUACACCCCAACCGUUGUUACAAAAGGAGAUGCAACGGCUUGGAUUGGAAGUAGUAGCGCUGGGAGUGCCGGCUACACUUGCCGCGUUGGUGGUACAACCGACCUUGUUGGAGAGAAUCAAGGAGUUGCAAGCUUCCGAUGAGUAUCUCCAAAAGGUGCGCGGAGAAGUUGAGAGAGGUAGUGCCGAUGAUUUUAGCAUUGGGAUCGACGGCGCACUCCGGUUUAGAAACCGUUGGUGUGUGCCUAAGAACAAGGACAUCCGCAAAGCAAUUAUGCAAGAGGCGCAUCAAUCUCCUUAUAGUAUACACCCGGGCGGCACCAAAAUGUACCAAGAUUUGAAAUUGCAUUAUUUGUGGCCGGGCAUGAAGAAAGACAUUGGGGAGUUUGUUGCGCAAUGUCUUACUUGUCAAUAAGUAAAAGCGGAGCGGCAGUUUUCGGCAGAAAAGUUGCAAAGUUUACCUAUACCUGUUUGGAAAUGAAAAAAUAUCGCAAUGGACUUUCGUGACCGGGUUGCCUCGAUCUCAAGGUGGACACGAUACAAUUUAGGUUAUAGUAGACCGGUUGACGAAGUCGGCAUAUUUCCUACCGAUUCAUAUUACUUGGUCGGGGGACAAGUUGGCUCAACUAUAUAUCGACGAGGUUGUGAGACUUCAUGGGGUACCGGUGUCUAUCGUAUCAGAUCGAGACCCGAGGUUCACAUCUCAUUUUUGGAGGAGCCUACAGGAGGCCUUAGGCAUACGGCUCGACUUUAGCACGACAUUUCAUCCUCACAGUAAUGGUCAAUCGGAGAGGACGAUACAAAUACUUGAGGAUAUGCAUCGAGCGUGUGUACUUGACUAUAAGGGCGGUUGGCAUGAUCAGUUACCGAUGGCGGAGUUCGCGUACAAUAACAGCUACCAAGAGAGUAUCGCGAUGGCGCCAUUCGAGGCCCUUUAUGGAAAGAAAUGUCGCUCUCCAAUCCAUUGGAGCGAUGUGGGUGAGAGAGCGACUCUUGGCCCGGAUGUGGUGCGGGAGGCGGAGGAAAUAAUUUGCCUUGCCCGCCAAAGACUCACUACGGCGCAAUCUCAGCAAAAGAGCUAUGCCGACAAAUGGCGAAAAGACAUAAGAGUUUGCAGUCGGCGACCACGUCUUUCUAAAGUGUCACCGAUGCGAGGAAUAAGACGGUUUCGGCUCCGGGGGAAGCUAAGUCCCCGGUACCUUGGACCGUUUGAGGUAUUGGAGUGGGUCGGCGCGGUGGCGUACAAGAUAGCAUUACCAUCGAGGCUUGCGGGAGUGCAUAAUGUAUUUCACGUAUCGAAUCUCUGCAAGUACGUUCAUGACCCCAAGCAUGUUCUGUCGUUUAAACCGUCUGAGAUCCAAGAGGACAUGACCUAUGAGGAGUUCCCGGCAUACAUCAUCGAUCGAGAAGUAAGAAAACUACGAAAUCGCGAGAUUCCGUAAGUUAAGAUUCGUUGGUGCAAUUACGAUGAUCGGAAAGCCACUUGGGAGCUUGAGAGCGCAAUGCGGGAGCAUUAUCCUCACCUCUUUAACGAGCUGAAUUGAGGUAUGAGUUUAAGUCUAAAUUAAGUAAGUUUCGCGGACGAAACUAAAUUUAAGGGGUGAAGAAUGUAACAUACCGAAACCUCGGUAAUUAAAUUCGAACCUUGAUCAAAUUGGCCAAAGUGCGAGGUUGGUACGCUUCGGAGAGGCCGGAGGCGUCAAAUAAUGCAAAAGUGCAUUUCGAGUGAUCUUCGAGAGCUUUGGAAAUCAAAAUCUGCAAACUGCAGGUUUUGUGUAAUACACUGAACUUUUGCAAAUUGCGGAGUUCGAGUGUGUAGAGUGGAAGGUGGAACUAUCCUACAUGUUCUAAAAGACUUGGACAGGUUGGUGAACAGAUUAGAGAGUGAUUGGAUGGCUAAAAGCAAGAAAGUGUAUUGCUGUGGCCUUUCCCUCGAAUUUUGCAUUGUGUACCGGUACAUGCAUUAUGCUGUACCGGCAUAAUGCUGUACAGGCGUUAUGCUGUACCGGUAUAGCAAGCAGCAGCAGCAGCAGCGUGGCAGCAUGAUUUUUUUGGUCUUUUGGGCAUCUGAUCUUAUCUCCAUGACUUCAGCUCGACCCCUGGAGUCUAGUGGAAGUUGCUGGAGACCAGAGGAAGCCUCUACGAUCUUCUUUUCUUUCUCUCUCUAAGAUUUUUUUCUCUCUCUACAAAGAAGUAGCCGUUUUGCACCGUUGUCGUCGCCGAGCUCGCUCUUCGCUGUUUUGCAGUGUCGCUGAGCCUUGGUGGAUGUGGGAGGGAGUGUUUUGGAGAGCUUUUCGCAGCCCUGGACCAGUAACUCACUGGUUGCAAGCUUGAGAAGGUAAUCGGCUCACUUUUUCAAUUUUCGGCAAUCUAUUGGACGAGUUAUGUAUAGUUUCGGGAUUGUUGCUUCUAGUUGCUUUAAUCUGAGAUUUCUGCAAUUAAAGUUGGAUGAAUUAGCUGUGAAUUAACCUCCUUAGACCAGGGUUAAGCUAUUUUGAAGCUUAAUGAAAAUAUUUAGCUAAUUAUGAAACUAGUUCGGAACUAUACGAAGUUUACUUGGGCAUUUGAUGCAGUUUGGGAAUUACUUCUUCGCAGCAAGUUCCAAAUUCACAUUGGGCCUAAUUGGUGACCUCGGGAGUUGGUUUAGUAGGUGUUCUGACCCAGGGUAAGCAAGAAUUUCAGCUAGAAAACUGAAAUUUCUAGAUUUCGACUAAUACAGCUUAUAUACAAGCAUAUUGACGCCGUUUCGGUUUUGUCCACAGCGAGAGGGCAUUUGACCCUUGGACUGUCUUUGAUUGGCAGUGGAGGGCCUUUUGGAAGCCUAAUUUGAGGUAUCAAACUAGCCCUAAACAGGGAAUUAAAUUCCUACUUUGCUUUACGUGCGAAUUGUACCGAAAUUGGACAUUUCGGUUAUAGUAUUGACUCGACUCUCGUACCUUGUUUUCAGCAGCAUUGGGGCUUCGUUGAGCCGAUUUUGAGACUUCCUUUGGACUGUUUGGAGCUUAGCAAUAGGUGAGUUUGACCUAACCAGAACAAGUGAAGCUUCUCUAUGUUCUAUAUGUAUUAUAGAAUCAAUAUAAUUGUGUGCAAUUGUGGUUAAUAUAGAACUUGAAAAAUGACACUAUAAUGUUUGCUAUAUGAUUGAAAUAGAAUCUCUAUAAAGUAGGGAACAUUCAUGCAUAGGUAUUCUUGUUUAGUUCAGUAGAACAACCAAGAGAUCCGUUUAUUAUGUUUUUAUGAUGUAGAGAACAUAUAUACGUGAAAGUAUUAUAAUUAUAUUCAAUUCAGUUGAAUGACUUAUGAACAAGUGUAGGAUGCACUUAUAAAGUAGAGAACAAUGACAUUCUCUUGACUCUAAAGUAGAGAACUAUAACAUACUUACGACCAUGUUGAUAGUGCCAUAAUAGUGGAAAGAUUAUAAUGCCAUGUGAUUUAGCAUUACUCUUACAUGUUUACAAUCUAGUGGAUACUAGUUCUUGUUACUCUUUGUGUAUUGAAAUUCCGAUCAGAGAAUCGAGGGUAAGAACAUUGCAAAUGAAAACAUGAUAAUUGAGACAUGUGGACAGUGGAAUAUGCUUGCUUGCCAUCGUGCUCAUUCGCACACGCUUGUGAGGGUAGCUCCCUACAAGCCGGCACUCCGGAGUUGGCCUACGCGACAGUUGCUCGCCCGUGCGGGAUUGGGUGCCGAAGUGGAUUGCCGUGGGGAGUGUAUACUACCACGGGGCCAUUAGGCGCGGCACAAGCUGGACUACCUUGAGUAGAUCCCUGUGAAUGAAAGGAAAGUGCUAAAGAAAGUUGGACAGUAAUGAAUGAUUAUCAGUUACAGUUUACAGUAGUACUUACACAUUUAUGCUUAUGUUCAUGCUUAUAGUAGUUGCUAUGCUUCUAUUAUUCAGUUAAUUCGUUACUGUUGAGACUAUGAUUACAUGUUGCUUACAUGCUCAUUACCUGUUAGCAUUGCAUAAUUAUAUAUCAUGCAAUUACCGCUUUCGCUUUCAUUUAGUACAUCAUGAGCCUAGUGGUGUAAUUCGCCGAGGCUGGCGGCUUACCCACUGGGAACUAUUGUUUAUAGUUCUCACGCCCUUUUGGUGGUUGUUUUACAGAGCCAGCUACAGGAGAGGCUAGGUAUCGUGGCAAGGGAGUCGCGUCUAGCUAGACAUUGCUAGGAGCAUGCUAGUCGAUCACCUUGCUACUCGGACUACGGCCGAGGGUGAUGUCCCUAUGUAUAGAGAGACCACCAUUGUAUCUAUUCUUUUGUAUACCUCGUGAUGUAUAAGUACUUUGUGGACAGUCACUAUGGGUUUGAUACUUUCUCUUUUAGUCGAGAUUUUGGAUUGUACACCUUUUGUUCUUUUGCCGAUAGUAUAUCGACUUGUACUUUGCUUUGAUAUCAGGAUAGGAUUUUACUAUGCUUCUUUCUAUCGACUUACUUCUUGUAGACGCCUUAUAUACUGCAUGUGUAUGGCGGGUCUGUGCACGUACCGGAUAUGCUUCCGCUGAUACCCGUGCGUGACAGAUUAUAGUGGUAUCAGAGCCUAGGGUUGAGUCUUAGUAGACCUAGCAAACCUUAGGCUGGUUGGACUAUAAGAAUAGGCUCGUGAGAGACGAGGUCUAGUCGAGGUUGUUGUUAGCGAAAGUACUUGGAUUUGUUUCAUGGACUUGGAUAUGGUCCAUUGGAUUUGGUGUAUGGGAUUCGGGAUUCGGUUCAGAGGAUGUGGUGUAUGGUUCAUGAGGUUUAGUUUAUUAUUUGCGGUGUUUGGUUCACGAACUUAGUUCAUGGUUUAUAGGGUUUGAUUCAUGAACUUGGGUAUGGUUCGUGGUGUUUGGUUCACGAACUUGGUUCAUGUUUUAUGGGUUUGGUUUAUGAAGUUGGGUAUGGUUCGUGGUUCUUGGUUCACUAACUUGGUUAAUAGUUCACGAGAUUUGGUUUAUCAAGCUUGGUGUAUGAGACUUGGUUUAUGACUUUGGAUAUGGUUCAUAGAUUUGGUUUAUGAACUUGGUUCAUGGUUUAUGAGAUUUGGUUCAUGAACUUGGGUAUGGUUCAUGGGACAUAGCUCAUGAAUUUGGUGUAUGGUUUAUGGAUAUGGUUUAUAGUUCAUGAAUUUGGUUCAUGAGGUUUGGUUUAUGGUUCAUAAGACUUGGUUCAUUAUUCAUAGGAUUUGGUUCAUGGUUCAUGAGAUUUGAGUCAUAAACUUGAUGUAUGGUUCAUGAGAUUUGGGUAUUGGAUUUGUUUCAUGAACUUGGAUAUGGUCCAUUGGAUUUGGUGUAUGGGAUUCAGUUCAUAGGAUGUGGUGUAUGGUUCAUGAGGUUUGGUUUAUUGUUCGUGGUGUUUGGUUCACGAGCUUGGUUCAUGGUUUAUAUGAUUUAGUUUAUGAACUUGGGUAUGGUUCGUGAUGUUUGGUUCACGAACUUGGUUCAUGGUUUAUAGGAUUUGUUUCAUGGACUUGAAUAUGGUUCGUGGUGUUUGGUUCACCAACUUGGGUAAGUUUCAUGAACUUGGUUCAUGGUUUAUGGGAUUUGGUUUAUAGACUUGGUUCAUGGUUUAUGGGAUUUGGUUCAUAAAUUUGGGUAUGGUUUAUGAAAUUUGAACCAUGAACUUGUUUCACGUUUCAUGAAAUUUGGUUUAUGAAUUUGGUUCAUGGUUCAUGAGAUUUUGUUCAUGAACUUUCAUGAGAUUUGGUUCAAGAGUCCAAGUUGGAAGUUGGCUUUGGGUUCUAUUUGUGGUCCGGAUUGGAUUUGAGUUUGGGUUUAGGUGUUUUUAUUUGUGUACUGGUUUUGGUUUUGGGUUUGGAUUUAGGUUUCGGGUUUUGGAUUUGGGUUUUUAUUUGUUGACUGGAUUGGAUUAUGGUUUGGAUUUGGAUUUGAGUUUUUGGUUUUGAUUGGAUUUUUAUGUGGAGUUGGUUUUGAUUUCGGUUUCGAUUUCGGUUUUAUUUGUGGACUUGAUUUUCAUUUGGAUUUUGCGUUGUUUAUUUGUGGACUUGAUUUGGAUUUGAGCUUAAUUUGGGUUUUGGUUUUGUUUGUGGACUUGGUUUAGAUUUUGGGUUCAGGUUUCUACUUUAUUUGUUGACUUAAUUCGGAUUUGGGUUUUAUUUGUUGACUGAGUUUGGAUUUUGGGUUCGGGUUUCGAUUGAAUUUGAUUUGGAUUUGGGUUUGGGUUUUAUUUGUAGACUUGACUUGGGUUUUGGUUUGGGUUUCGUUUUAUUUGUAGACUAAGUUUAGAUUUUGGGUUUGAUUUGAUUUUGGUUUUGUAAUUUAAUUUCAGGUCUGAAGAAACGCUCUUUUGAUUUUGCAAUUCGAUUUGGGGUUCGAAGAAAUCCUCUUUUGAUUUUGUAAUUUGAUUUGGGAUCCGAAGAAAUCUCCUUUCGAAUUUGCAAUUCGAUUUGGGGUCCGAAGAAAUCUCCUUUUGAAUUUGCAAUUUGAUUUGGGGUCCGAAAAAAUCACUUUUUGAAUUUGCAAUUCGAUUUGCGGUCCGAAGAAAUCCCUUUUGAUUUUGCAAUUCGAUUUGGGGUCCGAAGAAAUCCCUUUUUGAUUUUGCAAUUCGAUUUGGGGUCCGAAGAAAUUCCCUUUUGAUUUUGCAAUUCGAUUUGGGGUCCGAAGAAAUUUCCUUUUGAUUUUGUAAUUCGAUUUGGGGUCCGAAGAAAUCGCCGUUUUGAUCUCGAUUUGGGGUCCGAAAAAAUUCCCUUUUGAUUUUGUAAUUUUGAUUUGGGGUCCGAAGAAAUCCCUUUUUUGAUUUUGUAAUUCGAUUUGGGGUCCGAAGAAAUCUCCUUUUGAUUUUGUAAUUCGAUUUGGGGUCCGAAGAAAUCCCUUUUUGAUUUUGUAAUUCAAUUUGGGGUCUGAAAAAAUUUCCGUUUUGAUCUCGAUUUGGGGUCCGAAGAAAUUCCCUUAUUGAUUCUAAUUUGAUUUGAAUCUAAACUGGUUUGAAAGUUUCAUGGAUUGAUUCAAUGUUCUCGAAUGGGAUUGCAGGGUCCGAAGAAACGAAGAAUCUUUGAUUCCCCUUCCCUCUUCUUUCGAAAAUAUCUAACCAGCGAUGCUGGAGAUGACGUCGGUGAAGAUGGUGAUGGUGGCGCGGAUCUGUUCGGCCGGCCGAUUCAGUUCGAUAUUUUCAAAAGAGAUUGAAGGGUCCGAAGAAACGAAAAAUCUUUGAUUCCCCUCCCAUCUUCUUUCGAAAAUAUCAAACCGGCGAUGCUGGAGAUGACGUCGGUGAAGAUAAUGAUGGUUGCACGGAUCUGUUCGGCCGGCGGAUUUAGUUCGAUAUUUUCAAAAAAGAUUGAAUGGUCCGAAGAAACGGGGAAUCUUUGAUUCCCCUCCCCUCUUCUUUCGAAAGGAUCGAACCGGCGAUACUGGAGAUGACGGCGGUGAAGAUGAUAACGGUGGUGCGGAUCUGUUCGGCCGACGAAUUUGGUUCUAUAUUUUCAAAAGGAAUUGAAGGGUCUGAAGAAACGAGGAAUCUUUGAUUCGCCUCCCCUCUUCUUUUGAAAAUAUCAAACCAGCGAUGCUAGAGAUGGUCGUGGCAAUGUAGAUCACCCAUUCCAUCAAUUAACGGCUUCGAAUGGGGUAUUGAGAGGUCCGAUGAAACGGCAAGCCAUUGGCUCCCUUCCACUCUCCCAUCGAAGUCAUCUAGAUGGUAUGGAUGACUACGGUAACAGGACCUAAAAAAAGAAAAAGAAAAAGAAUAGGGGGGGGAGAGAUCUUUUUUUUAUUUUUUGAUAUGUUUUAUUAUUUUCCCUUUUUUUUUUUAUCUUUACCUGUUGAUCAGAUGACGGAUUGGAUGAAGUGGCUCGGCGAUCUCUCUUCCUUUGAAUUUUUUUGUACGUAGGAACGCGUUGUAGCAAGAGUGUAAAUAAUAUUAUCUCUUCUUUUUUUUUUUUAUCGUAAUCGCUCUAUAGUCUCUCUCUAUCUAUUUGUUCUCUCCUCCUUUGUCGUAUCGUCCCCCGUAUUGAUUUUUAUUCUCAUAUUUAUAAUAGAAGGGGCGGCGAGAGAUAUUUUGAGGAGUUGGUUAGGGAUUCAAAAUUUGAAAUAAAAUUUUGAAUUGGUUGUUGGAUGGAUAAGUAUUCAAAAUUCGAAUGGAUGUGGUUGGUUGGGAGAUAUUUUGGGAGUUGGUUGGGGAUUCGAAAUUCGAAAUCGGUUGUUGUGGUUGGUUGGAAGAUAUUUUGGGGGUUGGUUGAGGAUUCUAAAUCGAAUUUUGAAUCGGUUGUUGGAUGGAUUGGUAUUCAAAAUUCAAAUGAAUGUGGUUGGUUGGGAGAUUUUUGGGGGUUGGUUGGGGAUUCGAAAUUCGAAAUCGAAUUUUGAAUCGGUUGUUGGAUGGAUAGGUAUUUUGGGAGUUGGUUGGGAAUUCGAAUUUCGAAAUCGAAUUUUGAAUCGGUUGUGAUUUGUUGGAAGUUGUUUUGGGAGUUGGUUGGAAAUUCGAAAUUCGAAAUCGAAUUUUGAAUCGGUUGUGAUUGAAAUCGAAUUUCGAAAGGGGUUGUUAGGAUAACAGAUAUUUUCUAGGGUGUGAAUAUGGGCCGUCAUUGAUCGGGCCCACUUUAAUAAAAUUUGUUGGGCACAAAUGAUAAUAUUCAAUAGGCUGAAAUGAGGCCCGUAUUAUUA